rnacentral:lncRNA from 1 species
CUGGUUCCUCAUGGCAAGUACCUUGGCCCAAGCCGGCCGAGCUGAGAUGUCGGCCAGCCAUGCGCUCAGCUUGGGGCGAGCGUCGAACAGCUUCCUCACCGGUGUCCCCAUCAGGGUGGUCAUGGUGGGAAGUGGGUGGAGGUCGGCCAGGGUGAAACAGUCACAACCCAAGUACUUGGACUGGCUCAGCCGGGCCUCGUAGACAUCAAGGACCUUGGCGAGCUUGGCCUCGCUCUCCUCGACUACAGCAGCGUCCGUGGCCACACCGGAUCUCGGCUUGUACAGGAACUCCCGCCGCAGCUUCAACGCCAAGGGUUCAAAUUGUUGGGCCUCGACCUCCAUCCACACGCCCACCGUCGCCAUGGAUUUGCCCUCACAGAUGAGCGGAGUGCCCUCGUCCGCGAAUACAUGAGCAAUGUGCUGAGUAACUGCCCUUGAUUCUGCCACCACACAGAGCAUAAUCAAAAUAUUAAUAGAUUUUGCAGUUGUUUCUUGUUCAGUUGACUGAUUGAACACUCAAAGAUUGACCAAACACCCGAUCUUUCAUCAUGAUCACACAAGAUAAUUCAUUAUUAAUAGAAUGACUCACCGAAUAGCUUCAAAUCUCCGUCCUCAAAGGCCGGGACUUGACCGAAAGGCUGCACAGAGAGAUCGAGAAACGUUAGAUCCGAGAGACGGAGGGUUUCUUGAAAGGAACACCUUCAGACCCCAAGACCAGAAAAUAGUAAGGAUUACUGUCGCACCAGUGGUAGGCAGGGAUAGAGACUUACGUUGAGGGCGAGAAAAUGCUCCUUCUUGUGCUCGCCGGCCGGCAUGUCAAUGGGGACGAACUCGAACUCGAGGUCCUUCUCGUAGAGGGCGGCGAAGAUCCGCAUUGUCGCGGUGGACAAGACGGUUCCAUAAACUUUCAUCACCAUGAUUGCUUUGCCCUACUUUCUUUUUUGUUUCUCUCAAGAACUAAACGCAGAACAAUCAUGGCGAAUGAUGAUGGUUUUCGGGCUCUUUUUAUAGAGCAUAGCUAACCUAACAGUCCACUCCAUGCAAUUCAGAUCGCAUUUUGAGAGAGCAUUGGUCUUAUUUUAAAAAACAAGUCUACUAAUGUCGUUCAAGGUGGAGAAGUCACCUUUCCAUUUGGAAGACUCACGACGCCGUAAGCUCACCAUUUCCCUAUUUUAUAAGGGCUCGGUGAUUUUGUUCUGGAAUGAACUAAUCGAUUUGUGAUGUAUACUUGAUAAGUGCACUAGAAAUUUUAAAACUUAUUAUAAAAGUGUAAUUACAUCCUGAAACUUUUAAAAAGUGCAAUUAAGUUUUACAACUUAUCGAAUUAGUGCAAUCAAGAAUCUAUGUUAGGUUUGUCCGAUUUGAUUAACGGAAAAAGUCGGCGUUAAUCAAAGUAUACAUAAAACACGUGAGCACCACAGCAGUAAAUUUUAAUUAUUCAAAAAAGAAAAAAAUUAAGAAUAAAGAAAGAAGAAAACGAAAACCAAAAAUCCCAAACACAAGUUCACCCUGGCUCCAUUGCUUGGAUGUGAUAACCCCUUACGGCUUGGCCGCCGUGACGGCUCGGAGGAGGGGCAGUAAUAACAAUGCAUUAUAAGUCUGUUAUGGGUUGAUUGUCUUGAUUGAACCCUUUCAAGAUUUGUCAAUUGGAGAAGGGAGAUAAUUCUUCCACCUAAUGGUAUAGCGGUUAGUCAUAUGACAUUUUUUUUUUCUAAAGUACUUUUACCCAACAUGCCAAAUUAAUUUUGAGGAAAUCGCUCGUUGCGAAAAAGUUUUCCGCUCCCACCAAUUGCCACCUCUUUGCAUAACGAAGCCACCCUUCCUUACACCAUUGCCACUAGGGCUGUCAAAAAGCUCGAAUAGGUUCUCUUUCGGUUCAGGUAAACACUUUAAAAUUCGGGUGUUUUAAUUGUUUCGGUUCGGUAUUAACCCUACCUUUCUUGUUUCUUUGCCCCCAACGAAAAGAAGCCCCCCAUCCACCGUCUCCCUUGGACGCUACCUUGCAACCUUACAGUCAGUAGCUUCACUCUGGCAUUGGCUACUCAAGUGAUAUACCAAACCGAAUGGAAAAAAAAAAGUCUAAUGAUUCAUGAAUAUGCAUCCUAGUUUUAGAUGACUGAUGACCUGAGUCGGCCAACUUCCUCGUAACCGAACUCCGUGAUGAUGAGGGUCGAGAUUGGCCCUCUCGCCAUCAGUCAGGGGUAGGCCGCCCAGAGCCGAGUACAGCGCGAUGCUGUUGAGCCCUCUGCCGAGCGCACUGUAGAGGAAGAAACUCAGCCUCCAAGAACUCCCAGGUUCAUCGCGACGUGGAUCAGCUCCGCGUCAAUAGCGGCAUAGCGGCGAUCGGCCCGCAGUACGCGGCUACUGGCGACCGAGCUGGGUGGUAGGUAGAAAGGAAGAAUAAGAUAAAACAAAAGAGUAAGGAUUUCACGGAGACAUUGUCGGCUCGCGCAUCUAGUGUAGUGGUAUCAUAGUACCCUCCCACGGUACUGACCGGGGUUCGAUUCCCCGGAUGCGCAUCUUCUUCUAGUUUUCCAUUUUUUUUCCCUGAAACUUGUUCCCUAGUUUUGAAGCUUCGACUUUUGCCGAGCGAUUUUCAGGGCGGGUAAUUCGUUGGCAGCUCCGCUCAAUAUCUUCCCUUUCCUUUGCCCCAGAAUAGACGUUUCAGAAUCUUGACAGUCGACGCUAUCUUUCCGUUGCUAGAUUCGCUUGAAAAAAUGGCCAGCGUCAAGUUCAUGACAUCAUUUUCCCACCUUCAGACCACGAUCAGCCACAUCCUCCAUGUCCUGACCACUCGCUGCCCCGGCCCAAAUCCAAGCCUGACUUGUUGUCCUAGACCUAAGUUGGAACAUCUCCCUUGUCUCGCGCUUCAUCAGUGUUAGAAUAAUAUAAAAUUGAUUGUUGAAAAUUCGAGCACAUUGGUUAUUGGGUUUUAAAUUUGGUGGGAUGUAUGAUGGGUGUCUUAAGAAUAUUGAAGGCAAAAGGAAAUGGACAUGAUUUGUGGUGGCCUAUAUUUGGGUAGUCUCUCCACCAUUAAAUACUUUAAUAAGGAAAAGAUGAGCUCUUGUUUAGUGUUUUUUCAAAGAGCGUGAAGUUUCAUCUUUGUCAAAAGGGACAAAGAAUUCAUGGUCGUUGGCUCAUCUAAUCUUUGUGUUUUUUUGUCGUUGACAGUUUGUCAUUAGGAUGUCAAGUGUGUGGGGGUGUUUGUCUCCAUCAUUAAAUGUAGUGUAGGUAUUGUGCUAUAAUAUAAGAAUGGCACUUUGCUGCCGGAUGCGAAAUGCCCCACAAAGACAUCGACCCCGUUUGGUUCAACAUUCCCAAGGGGCUUUGAGCCCCCAAAGCCCUUUGGGAAAAAUUUAGGUGUUUGAUUCCGCAUUUGGAUGUCUCUUUAGCUAAAUGUUUGCCUUUAAAAUGCUGAAAUGCUGGAAGUCCCCGUCCGCUUUGGGCUUUCAGCGUUUUCGGAAUGCUAAAGAGAGGUUUAAUGAUUUUUUUUUUUUACUUUUAAUAUUACCCUCACUGAUUAUUGUGUUUUCCUAUUUUACCCUAAAAAAUUAUUGUUCAUCGUCUUCCUCGUUGGACUUAUUUCUUCAAGAGUGAAGCUCACCUGGCCAAAUCCGGUCACCCACGCACCGUCGUCGUCACACACCGCCGUUGUGUGGGUUGCAGCCUUAGGCGGCGUUGCUUGGGUUGCGCGACCCCCGCGAUGGGCUGAGCGGAGCUCAGCUGGCUAGAUCUGGUAGCUCACGCACCGCUAUCGCCACACAUCGCCGUUGUGUGGGUAGCGCCAUCGCGUGGGUUGCGCUAUCGUGUGGGUCGUGCAACCCUCCCCACCACCAUUGCCACCAACCACCUCCCCCACCGCAAUCACCAGCUCUGGCUGCCUCCCGAUCGUUCGCCUCUACUUCAGCAUCUCCUCCUCCUUUUUCCUUUUCUUUUUUUCUUUUUUCUUUUCACCUCAAAGCUACUUUGCAAAAUACACCAAAAUGAGAGUACCCAAACACCUUUGCCUUCAUCAAAUGCAAAGUCAUUUCUCCAAAGUUGAAUCAAAUGGGUCCAUUGUGUCAUGGACUGUCCUCAUCACUAGGUAUUGCGCCAAUCAGGUAGUGCUAUCAAAGUUGGCUGUUGGUAAAGAAUUGGGGGCCCGAAAAGGGGGCCGACUUAACAAAUUUUGAACGUACCUAUUCUAUGAAAUCCAUACAAAAGUCAUGAAUAAACCCGAGAUCAGUUGAAACUUUGGAAUUAGCAAGUAAGUACGAUCAAAAUGGUCUCUAGAGAUGUCCAAAUAGUGGGUUUUGAGGUUUUAAAACAGGCAACAUUCAAAAUAAAAUAUCAGAUUUUAAGUAAAAUCACAUGAGUCAAUCGAUAAAUCUCGACGGUACAUGUUUCGAUAAUGAAAUUUCAUUUUCUUAAGAAGAAUUUCUACAACGAAAGGAAAAUUGUGGAGAAAAAACUUGGCCAAGCUCAAUCCAGGCCGGAUUAAAUCUAUACGGUACAGUCAUGGCCAAAUUUUUUAUUUUUCAUUGAGCAUAAGCUUGCAAAUCGAGCCUAGAAAAACAGGCGCAAACUAUCGAGGUAGGCCCACAAGUUCCUCAAAAGGCCUGGUCCGUGUUCACUUCUUGAUGGCCGACCAAUUUGAUACCACGUUUAGUGAGUAUCUCGAGGAAAUGACUUCGUAUAUAACCAUAUUUAUUGGGCAAGGACUGACAUAUACAAGAAAUAUUAUGCAGAAAAGAGAAAUAUGAAAUUUGUGUAUUCGAUAUAUUCCUAAUGAAGAGUGCGUGAGCCUAUUUAUAAAUUUUAUUAGAUGACCAAGUAGUCAUAUCAAGUACAACACAAUAUGAGAUUUGAAGAAUCUCCACUCACAAGAAAUAUGGAGAAUAUAAUCAAUAUAUUUAGAAUAUAUCAUAAAUAUCUCUUAUGGUUUAAUCCGGUGGAAGAGAUCAUUGCCAUUUUUUUUUUAAAUUUUCCUCAAUUAUAUAUAUUUAUUUUCUUUUUCUUUUUCCAAUAUUGCCCAUGACCAUUGCCUAGGCCCUCGCAAGAUCUGGGUGAAAGUCGCAUUGCCCAACCAUCAAAGAUGGUGCUGACCACAAUGAAAGAAUAAAAAGAAAACUCAUAAAAAAUUUAAAAAACUAUCCACAUUAACACUGAUUGUGUCACAUAAGACGGCCAACAUUAUAAUUAGCAUCCACGUCAGUAAUUUCAGAUCAAAAUUGGCCAAAAGGAUUAUAUUGACAAAUCAUAAAAAUGUUGACUAAAUUAGCCAAAUUGAAGAAUUUAGGAUUGAAUUGACAUUUGUAAAAUAGAUUGAAGUCUUUUUAGGUAUUCUUACCGUUAUGCGAUAGAAAUUGCUAACUAUUUAAUUCUUCACUUAAAAUGAUAAUAUUUUUUUUUUUACUUUCUAGUUCAUAAAAAAAGAGAAAGUUAAAAAACAAUUCACAAUGCUAAGAAGACCAUAUCGUCCAAAAACCAACACCACAAUUUUCUUUGUAAUACUAAGUAUUUUUUAUUUUUUGCAAUACCUAUAUUUUAGUGCCAUCGAUAAGUUCUUUUUGCAAAAAAUAAGUAAUUUGAAAACAAUUUUAGAAAAAUGAUCUCUUAUAUCUUUUAGAAAAAUAAAUGAAUGGAAAUUUUUUUCAUCAUCCACAAAAAUAGUAAAGCAUAAAUUAUCAUCAAUAAUGAAAAUAUUUGUUGUUGACUAAUUUUUUCAACAAUAUAAGCAAUCGUUUUUCGAGAAAAUGUUUUCUCAAUCACUCAUUUUCCAAGAAACGAAAAGGAUCCUAUAUGAAAAGCCAACUUUUAAAUUUGGUAUCCACUCUUCAAAUGACUAAAACAUCCUUAUUUUCAAUAUUAGAAGAGUAGGGGUUAAUAUCAUGAAAAGCUCAAGUUAGUACAUCUCUAAUAAGUUUAUCUCAAACUAUUUUUUGGAUCACAAAAAACCCUAAAUUGGUACACUUAUAAUAAAUUUACUCCAAACUAAUUGUUGGAUUGCCAAAAACCCUAAAUCGAUACACCUCUAAUAAAUUACUCCAAACUAAUAUAGAUUUCCACAUGGACUUAUUUGUCAAUUGAGUUAUCACGCAGUGUCUUUUAACUCAACGAUUUUACAUUAAAAUUUAAUAGAAGCUAACAGAGGGUAAAUAUGUUACGAAUGUAUCAAUUUGGGGUCUUUGGUGAUACAAAAAUUAGCUCAAGGAAAAUUUGUCACAUGUAUACCAAUUUGAUAUUUAGUGAUCCAAAAAUUAGUUUUUGAUAAAUUUAUCACAUGUAUACCAAUUUUGUAUUUUUCGUGAUAUUAAACCAAAGGGUAUAGAGAAAAUUGGAUGUCAUUUUAAUCAAAAUAUGACAUCUUAUUCAAAUCUCUUACUUUCGUAUAGGUCUCAAUCCAAAUUCAUGUCUCUAUUAAUAUAUUCAAACCAACCCGCGUCCAUCUCUGAUCUAGCAUAUGCAUGCGAAAGAUCUCGUAUAUGCAAAUUAUAAUUUUAAUUGGAUAAAACUAACAAUAAUAAAAGUUAAGCAAAGAUUUAAAUUUCAAGGACCGCUCCUACUCUCAGCUACAUAUAUAGUAAUAGUAGCCCUGAUAAAAUCAUAAACCUGUGGAGUCAUGCGCGCUCACAUUCAAAUUCUCAUCUUCUCUCACGCUAUGCUGACUUGAGCGCCGAACUGUCUAUUUAGGGGCUCUUCCAAGACCCCUCGUCACCCAUUUUUUUCUUGGGGGUAACGCGCAAAGAGGACUUAAGACCUUCCAAAGAAACUUUUCGAGGCCAAGAUCAUCAUCUGAAUACAAUUUACAUGAAUUUUUGGUGUAAUUCACGGAGGAAUCCAACGAAGAAUAUUUACUGUCAAGCACUUGAACGGCACUUCAAGGACUCCUCACGUCAACAACAGGUUGAAGACCCUGCUGUUUUUCGCCGACUUCGGGCGCUUGAAGACCGCACUUGCACUUGCAGGAGACAUAUAUUAUAUGUGUCACGCCCCGAACCCCGAGCGCGCGCACAUCCCACUACGGUCGAUCAAAAAUGCGACAUUCCAGGAUAUGUCGCCGACCCAUUUACUCUAUUACGCAUGCGGAAGCGAAACAAAUCCCCUGACAAUAGAAUACGGGAUAGAAAAGCAGGAAGCAAAACCACAACAUAACACUUCCAUAAUUCAACAGAAUUACAAAUAGAGGUCUACGGCCAAAAGUCUACAAAAGACCGGUUCUUAAAAAUGAAUUGUCCUACGACCUACAAGUCGGACACGUUCUCCAAUCUUAUGACUUCACCUUUGCAACUCCUCAAGGCCAACCAAAGCUAUCUGGUCGCUCCGUCCACCAGGGACCUGAAAUUUUAAUCCCACAACCGGGAUGAGACGAUGUCUCAGCAAGUUCAACCCCCUAAACCCCUAUUAGAAAGAAAAUACGUCCCGGGUGGCCUAGCCACAUCACACAAAAGACUUACCUCGCAUCAGCAUUUAUCUGUAGGUUAGCACAAUUUAUAUAAACCAACCACGUACAAUUAUGAUAACCAAACAACCAUGGCACAAUCACAUUAUCAAACAAUUCAACCACUUGGAUCGUCUCAGCGAUCAAUCGACUCGGCCGAUUACAUGUCAUUCUAGCAAAUCAAUCAUUGCUCUCAAUCACGGCCCUAUAGGAAGGUUUAACAAUCAGUGGCAAUCACGGCCCCACUCGGCACGACCUUUAAUUAGGUGGUCCAUCACGGCCUCACUGGGCACGACCUCUAAUAGGUGGUCAAUCACGGCCUCACUGGGCACGACCUCUCCUAGGUGGUACAUCACGGCCUCACUGGGCACAACCUCUCAUAGGUGGUUCAUCACGGCCUCACUGGGCACGACCUCUCAUAGGUGGUUCAUCACGGCCUCACUAGGCACGACCUCUCAUAAGUGGUUCAUCAUGGCCCUAUUAGGCACGACCUCUCAUAGGUGGUUAAUCACGGCCUCACUAGUCACGACCUUUCCUAGGUGGUACAUCACGGCCUCACUGGGCACGACCUCUAAUAGGUGGUCAAUUACGGCCAAUCUCCUAUCAAUUUCUACACUUAGGAUUUUAUAAAAAAAUCCCUAUUUAUCAGAAUCACACUCCAUUUGCCACAAUCAAUCAUCAAAUUCAAAUUCUAAAUACACAGCAGCGAUCAGCACGAAAUUCUGAGAGAAUAAGGUUCCAAAUUAAUUUUCAGAAUUUAUCAAAUAAUUAAAUUUAAUUCUGAAAAUUAAUUAAAUAAUAAUAUCCAUGUCUUUCACGAUCCACACUCAAUUUAUAAAAUCCAAUUGUCAAUUUUAAAAUCUGACUACACAACCGCGACCAGUACGAAAUUCUGAGAAUUUAGGGUCCUGACAAAAUUUUCGGAAUUUAAUAAAUAAUUAAAUUUAUUCCGAAAAUAAUUAAAUAAUAAUAUUUUGAUCAUUUCGAAUAAUAAAAUAUUAUUAAAUUAUUAAACGAUUUCGAAAUAUUUAUUUAAUCCCAAAAGUAAUUCAUUUAUGUCAAAUCACCAUUAUACUAAUAUAAACAUCAAUUUAAUCUUAACCAAACAUACUUUAAGUUAAUCCAACCUCUUAAUCUAAUUUACAAUUAAAUAAACUCAACUAACCACCUAAGCUUAAUUAACUUAAGCUAAACACACCUAAAGCAUAAUUAACCCUUUAAGCGAGGUUUAGUGAGCUAAACUCACCGGAUUAGCGAGCCGAGCAGACCAAAACGACGAGGGCGACGCGAGGAUCGACUUUCCUCAAGGCGGGCCGAGCAUCCGGGCUCGGGAAGGCGGCCAAAACGGGCCAAACAUGGGCUGCCAUACCCAUUUUUCCAGCCACUGAUUUGGGGCCGAGAAGGGCGGAUCCGGCGUCGGAAUGGACAGAGGAAACCGGCGAGGGCUUGGACGGGCCGGUGGGGAGGUCAAUGGCGGCUCACGGCGGCGGGGACGAGCUCCGGCAGCUCGGGACGACGGACGAUGGCUGCUGGUGCGCGGACGAAGCAGAGACGGGAGGGCGGAGCAGCUCGCGCACAAGACAACGUGCGUGCGAACGAAUGGCGACAGCAACGAGCUUCGGCGACGGGCGAGCUAGUCGGGCGAGUGGCGAACGGCGGUCCGGCUGGGCUGCAGCCAUCCUCGGCGUGCUCAGAUCUGCUGGGUCUUGGAGCAGAAACCGGAGACGGAGAAGAGAGGAGAGAGGGAGGCCGAGGUUCGAGCGGCGAGGCGCGGCUGCGACGACGAGCAGACGAGCGAAGGCGGCGACGGCUCCGGCUGCAGCUGCGACGGCUGCUGGCUUCCGGUUGCUGGGUUCGAAGCUGGAGAAGAAGAUGGAGAUGGAGAGUGGUCGCACGGGAGAGAGGAAGAAGAGAGGGAGGAGAGAGAAGGAGGGGGCCCUUUUUAUUUUCUUUUUCUCUUUCUUUUAUCCAACAAAAAUGGCCCACCAUGACCUAGGAUGACAUCACACUCCACUAUCUCCCACAACCUUAUUCCAAUGGUUGCAAUUCCAUUUUCCGCCGGGGCAUAAAACUUUGUACAUCAAUUCCUUCAAUUCCAAUCAAUUCUCUCCCAAUUGAAUCAAAUUGAAGUCCAUAAAAUUAAUCUAAUGUCACCACACUCUAAUUCACAUCUUCACUUGUCCAUAGAACCAACUUAAAUCCCAAAAGCGCGACCAAAGACGAGCAUACUAAUUUCUCUGAUUUAAUUGCUGAAAAACUCUGAUUGCAUGAAAAAUCUUCCAAAGAUGAUUCAAUAAUCCUGAAAUAAUUUGUGACACACCCAGACUUCCAAUUUCUGAAUUCGAUCUCAAUUCCACGGUUAAUUUCACUUUGGCACGAUACCAGCGCGGUCCAAUCUACCGGGUAGCCUUUAGAAAUUUUCAUGCAUUUGACUUGUGGUUGAUCAUCUCAAGCCACAACAUACAUCUUUGAAACAUUGGCGACUUUCGGUUGUCGGGGUAAUCUCAAGGUUUCAAAUACGAACACAGGGUACCCAAUCGACAGAAAAGUUGGUCCAGUGCCGAUCGACAAGAAUUGCGCGAUCUGGUGGAAUCACCCACACCUGAUCACAUGCCUCUAUCGAGUCGACCUAUCUCCGAUCUUUAAUCGAUUUUAAUUGUGCCGUAAUGACCCUUGCAGACUAGCUCGGUCGAAAGGUCGCUUCCUGAUCAAAUUCUCGAGUCUGAUGCAUUAGAAACUCUUAACAGCUUCACCCGAUAGACUAGUUUCCACAUGAGUGGCCAACUCAAGGAAAAGAACUAUGUGCGUGCCAACGAAAUGCCCGUCUCAAUUUAUUGAAAAUAGAAUCGGAAAAUCGAGAUGUCACAAUAUGAAAGUUAAGUUUGAUCGAAUUUGGUGCAAUUCAAAAGUCGACGAUCGACUUUCUAAAUUCGGCCCUCUCUCCAACGUGCAGUAGGUUUUCGUAUAUUUCCUUUUCCUUUUAUUUUUCUUGGAAUCGUUAUCCAACUUGAACUCUUGCACCAUAAAAGGAAAUCUAAUAUAUACAGCAUAUAUUUAAGCAUUCAAAAAUAAUAAUUUAUUUUUAGUCGGUUUCAUUAAUGAGCUCAAACUCGAGAUAUAUUAUAAUAUAUAUUACACAACCAGCCAUCUACUAUUCCCAUUCCAUAGAUGAGACAGAGUCCGAUUCGGCUCCCUUAAUCGCUAAUUGUCAAUGUUAUGUUGAUGUUACUUAACCGUGAUGCACAGCUCCUGUCCAACACUCUCCUAUUCAGCUUGACCGACGACCACUCACCCACCACGUACAUGAACGACCCACCGGUUAGAUACCCACAAAUACAAUAAUAAAAGCCUCAUUUAUCAAGGCUAGCUAUGGCAAAAAGGUUAUAAAAAAAAAAAAAAAAAAAAAGUCAACAAUGAAGAUUGUCAAACGUCUUUGUUUAUGUAAAGAACAUAAAAUAAUGGUUAUUUUGCGAUCUGAUCUCAAUUAGUCUGAUGGUACCAUAUGAAGUAGCUUUUUGUUGAAUGAGCAUUGGUUGGAGCUUUGAGAUUAGCUUUUGUUGACUUUUGAGCUAUAGAAUCAUUUUUUGGUUGGGCGUCAUUGAUUAGGUUUUCUCUUUGAUUCUCUCUUGUUUUAUCUCGAUAUGGCAUGUCGUCUCUUCCUAUUAUGGAUUUUAUUUCUUGUAGAUUUUACUUGUGAAAAUUGGAGCUUUUGUUUCCUCCUCUCUGCUAUGUUCUUUGCCUUGCAUUUACAAGGUAUUUGAUAGAAAUUACUAACAUAAGAACUGCCAAAUGGCAACAUUAGAAAGAGGGAGGAAGUGGCCAUCGAACUUAAUUCACGGGGUGGACUUGUCCAAUUAGUUGUAAACCUGUUGCAAAAAUAUCAAUUCAAGUUUAAAUUUUUCAAUUUUGCCAAUUGACUCUUAAACAUUUAUACGGAAUUUUAAUGUAAUCUUUCCAAUAAAUUUUCGUAAAAAAUUGCUGACUUGAUGAUAUGUCAUGUAUAACAAUCUACGAUGAUUGGAAUGUAACUUUAAUUUUGUAUAAAGCUAUACUUAUACAUGGUUCUUGUACUGUGAACUUCUUUGGUACUUUAACAAGAUGAAAGUGGGUAAAGCUUUUGUGAUUGGUGGGGAAGUGGUUAUGAAAAUGUAGGGCCGUCCCAUGGAGACGAUGAAAGGACAGGCCUUCAUCAGUAGAAACAAUACCAGCGCGGGCGAAAGUUAUUACACUUUUAUCUGUCCAAUCGUUAUUGCUCAUAAUAGACAAUCACAGAACACCAACCGCAUCAUCUCCAACUUUGAUGAUUGAAGACGGCAAUCCCAGAUAAGUUCGUCUGACUCCCACUUCAAAUCAAACAUCGACCAAAAGGACGGAAUCAACAACAAAGUACAAGUACAAAAUCACAUAAAUGGGGUAAAAAGGGUCUCUUGUUAUAGCCCCCAGGACCAGAUAAUUCAGACUCGACCCUUUGCUUCAGUGCUGGUUCUUCCUGGCAAGCACCUUGGCCCACGCAGGCCGGGCCAUGAUGUCAGCCGCCCACGCGCUGACCUUGGGGCGGGUGUCGAACAGCUUCUUUACUUGUGUUCCCAUAAGGUUGGUCAGGGCAGGGAGGUGGUGGAGGUCGGCGAGGGUGAAGCAGUCGCAGCCCAAGUACUUGGACUGGCUCAGCCGGGCCUCGUAGAUGUCGAGGACCUUGGCGAGCUUGGCCUCGUUCUCCUCGACUUCUGCAGCAUCCGUGACCUUGCCUAACUUUGGCUUGUACGCGAGCUCCCACUGCAGCUUUAUCGCCACAGGUUCAAACUGGUGGGCCUCGACCUCCAUCCACACGCUCACGGUCGCCAUGGGUUUGCCCUCGCAGACGAGCGGUGUGCCCUCGUCCUUGUAUACGUGAGCAAUGUAUUGAGUAAUUGCCCUUGAUUCUGCCACCGCAAAGAGCAUAAUCAAGAUACAUAUUAUACUUCGCCUAGUUGCUUCUUUCUUAGUAGACUGAUUGAACACACAUACUUUGACUAAACAUUUGAUCUUUCCUCAUGGGCACACAAUCUAUCAGCAACAAAUCAGCACCCUUUGACUAAAUUACCUUCAUCUUUCAUCAUGGUCACACAAGAUAAUCUAUCAGUACUGGAAAGACUUACCGAAUAGCUUCAAAUCUCCGUCCUCAAAGGCUGGAAUCUGACCGAAAGGCUGCACAGAGAGAUCGAGAAACGUUAGAUCUAAGAGACGAAGGAAGGUUUCUUGGAUGAACGCAUGGAGACCCUAAGACCAGCUAUCGGUGAGAAAUGCUGUCGGACAGGUGGCUGACAGGGACGGAGACUUACGUUGAGGGCGAGGAAAGGCUCCUUCUUGUGCUCGCCGGCUUUCACCUCGACGAAGACGAACUCGAACUCGAGGUCCUUCUCACAGAGGGCGGCAAAGACCCGCAACACUGGCGGGGACAAGACGCUUCCAUGGACCUUCAUCACCAUGAAUGCUUGCUCUACUUUUUUCUUCUCUCUCAAGAACUAAACGCGGAACAAUGGCGGCGACUGAUGGUGGAUUCCGGGCUCCUUUUUAUAAGGUUUUUCCGUGGUCCUUCAUCAAUAAUGGCGGGGACUGAUGGUGGGUUCUGGGCUCUUUCGUAUAAGGUUUUUUUUUUUUUUUUUUGUGGUCCUUCGUCACCAUGAUCACUACUCGUAGUCAUUUUCAUACUCAUCACGUACUUCUUUAUUUGGUGUCUGCACAAGCCAGCGGCAAGGGAACGACACAAGGUCGAUACUGUUGGUAGUUUGUUUGUAAGAGGUGACCUAUCCCACAUUGAAAAUAUGUAAGUGCAAAUGUGGACGAGAUUUGACAUUAACCAGCAAUCAUUAUUUUUUUAUUUAUUAGAAAAUUUUAAGUUUAUUUUUAUAAAAAUUAACCAUAGCGUCCCAUUGAAAUAGUGUAAUUGUUCACGAUAGAGUUACGAUUAUUUAUUAUUUAUUAUUUAUCUAAUUUCGAAUUUCAUAAUUUCUUCAAAUGAUUAUUUUAGAUUUUGUACCUAUUCAAACACAACUUCUUACUCUUUAGAAGGUUGUGUCCGAUCAGAUAUAACUUAUUGCUUUUGCUAUAAAUUAUUGAACGUAUAUGUUCAAUCAUAAUAUUCUUCUUCCAUUUUCAUUUUUAUUUAAAUGAAAAUACGACCAUUAUUUUUAAAUUGUUUCCUUUGAGAGAUAUUAGAAAAAUAUUAGAGUUUCUAUCUAGUAUUCUUAUUUGAGAUUUUAUUCUAUCUUGGAGGAUAUUUGUCAAUAACUGAGUAAAUAAAUCUUUAAAUAAAAUAAUAUUACGCCUCAAAGUCUAAGUUGAUUAUUCUAUUGAUUCAAUGCAAGGAGGCAGGGCAGAAGUCUGAGAGUGAGUGUUAAAGUAGGAUUAAAGUAGGACUAACAAAAAAAAAUCAUAUUUCAAAUGGGCACGUCAUGCAGAGACAAGGAGCUCGUUCCAAACAAACCUUGUCGGAAGGAAAAUUCGUUGGAGGGAUUGAGGAAACAUGGAUUAUGUUCUAAAAUUAGAGGAAACAGAGGAAUGAAAGUAUGGAUCGAAAAUAAGAAAAUUUUAUAUUUUUCGUAAGGAAAAAUAGGAGUGGAAAUUCUAUUUUUCUUCCGUGGUUUUCUGUUUAAAUUUUAUUCGCAAACCAUUUACUAUAUUUCAAAUUCAAAUUGAAGCCUCACAAGAUCAAUCAUUAUAACCUCCGACCGAAAAAAGAAUCAUUAUAACGUUGACAUUUGCACAAUUUUGACAUCUCCUUGAUUGGCCAUGGGUUGUGAUACACGAGAUAUAAAUUUCAUUUAAGACAAUCAACUCACAAUUCCACCUCAAGCCUCAACAAUCAACUAAGGGUGCAUUUGGGAGUGGCCUUUAGAAGGCACUUUGAACACCUAAAGCCCCUUGGGCCAAAUAUGGAGUGUUUUGGAAAAAUUUUAGAAUCCCUAUUAGGCCAAAGUUGGCAUUUUGAAGGCUGAAAGCUGAAGGCAGGUCUAAGGUUAUCUUGGACUUUCAACUUUCUUGGCAUACAAGUAGCCUUAGGGUUAGUGAAAAAAUUUCUUCCAAAAUUAUCUCCACUCACUUUUUUGUUUUUCGGGUUUUGCCCUCAUCAUUUGACUAUUCAUUUGCUUCUCCAUUGAGCGGCUAGCAUGUUGCGCAAGGUCGUGAGUGGCUAGCGAUAGCUAGAUAGAGGCUGGUGUGGUUGCGGUGACCCAAGCAAUAGUCAUCGGGGGGUCGCGUGACCGCCGCGCCAUCUGGGUCCCAAUGACCGCCGUAGGGGGCUGCAAAUUUGGGGUCGAGCAACCCAAGUGCAGGUCACAGCGAGGUUGUUUGAAUGAGUGGCAACCCUCACUGGUAGUCUGCGAGGGUUGCCCGACCUUAGGCAACCUUCGCGGGUUGUCUCCUGAAUAUUAAAAGGACCUUAACAAAGAGUGAACAAGUCAAAGGAAUGAGAAGUUCAUGGAGACUUAAAGGUACCAUAAAGUGAACUUUUUUAUAGAGUCUUGAUCAUUUGUGUACUUAGGAAGAUCAAAUGGGAAGGUGUAUAUUAGUCAACUACGAGAAGCUUGAAUAGACUCACAGAUUGCUGAUACGAACAACUCCACUUGAGAUGAAUGUGCAUGUCACACGAUUGCACAUUCUGAUUUGAACAUAUAUUCCUUUAACUAUCAAUCUAAGUCUCAAAGUAUAUGGACAAUAUGUCACAUGCCUAGAAAUCUAGAAGAGACAAAGGAAGGGGGAUCCAAUCAUUUGUCCAUCACUUUGGCGAAAAGGAUUAUUUUCUUAACAUAAGCAAUUAUGUUCAUGGAAACUAUAUAUAUAGUGAAAAUUUGAUUACAUGGGUGACUAGAUCUCUCGGCGAUUGUAUUGUUUAUCUUCAAUAGCUAAAUUAAUCCUCUUGAUAGGAGGGCUGUGCAUGAUGGUGUUUAAAACAUGUUCUAGUCCAUGGUCCAUGAAAAUCAACCUACAAUGGGAAAUACAAGUAAGAAAAGCAUUUUCUUUAGUGAAACACUUGUUGAGCAUUCUAAAACAAAAGUUUGUUUUUGCCUUACUCAUGACUGAGAGACAAAAGAGUGAGAAAGAGAGUCUGUUAUACCUUAAAAUGUGCUCCUUAAUGAAUGAAUUUGGAAUGUAUUUUCGGAGAUCUUACCUUGUGGUUUACCUCCCUUGAGAGAAGUUGAGCACCAAACCGAUUCACCUUUAAAGCUUCUCUUCAUAACAACAUCGCCUUUUUGAUGCAAUCCGAAGGACACCAAGAAGAUUGCUAAAUGAUAUAUAAGAGAAAGUAUGAGCCCUUAUUUGAAUCCAAGCCUCCUCAUGCCAAGGAAUGACGUUCUUUCAGAAUGAACGGGGAUCGUUGAACCAUCAACAAUAUAAUUAUAUAACUAUUUAGUAUAGGUGCCAUACCUAAUCUAAAUAACAUGCUUAAUGAAUUGUAUUGCCGCACAAUUUUUUUUUUUUUUAAAGAUUGAUUUGAGGAGUGGCUAUUAUCAAAUUAGGAUGAAGGAAAGGGACUAGUGGAAAAUGGCCUUAAAAAACAAAGGGGCGUCUAUGAGCAACUAGUUAUGACAUCAAUGUUUUUAAUGUAGAAAAUUAUCCACAUAAACAACUAAUUAAUCAAGAACAAUUGGAUCCAUAUAUGACUGUGAAACACCAAAAUUGAUACGCAUAGAGGAAUUAAAACAUACUUGUUUGAGCUAUACGUCAGUAGAAGAAAAAUAGAUUAGUCUGUUUAUAAUCAGAGAUCUAUUGGAAUGUCAAAUCUUCUUCUUUGUGACUUAUUUUAGUAUAACAACUUUUAAUGGGAUUAAGCGAUUGAUAAGCAUAACUUACCUUUUUAUAGCCUGGUGAGGAGACCUAAUAAAUCCUAAUCAAUAGUGUGUCAACUGAGCUCCUCCUAUUACGGGCUUCGAUUAAAUACAAUUAACUACACUUUGCUACUCAACUAUGCCUGUUAUUAAUAGAUGUCAAAACUCAAUUCAAUAAAAUCACUUAAAGGUUUAACAAAUAUUAGAAUAUCAAUUAACCUGAUUAUUUAAAAUAGAAAAUUAAUUAAUUAAUGUAAACCCAUAUUAUAGAAAAUUUCAAACAUUCUUCCACUUGGGCUACAUUAAUUAACUUAUUUUUAUUUGAAAAAAUAUUUUAUAUUGAAAACGACACUCUCGGGUUAAUAAUUGGAAUUUUUUUUUUUUUGGGUAAAGAAUUGAAAAUUUGUUUUGUGUGGCCAUAACUUAAUAUAUAUAUAUAUAUAUAUAUAUAUCCAAUAACGGCAUUUUAAAAUCAAUCAAAUCCUAUAUAACCUCAGUUUAUGACUAUGGGGAUCAAUACGUUAAGAAGAUACUGCAACAUAUGACUUUCCAUAAUCACAUAUAAUAAGCAUUAUAUGUUUAUAGAUCAUGGGCCUAGUAGUGUAGUAAAAAAAGUGCCAACAUGUGAUCAGAAUUUAUACUAUUUCUUAUCGGUCCUCAAUGUAAUUUCUUAAUGACAUGAAAUUGUAUUAGCGCAAUUUUUAAACAACAUGAUAUUGCAUGAUUUGUCACAAUCCAACAGGAGAUAUCAUAAUUAGUGAUAUCCAGUCGUCUUUAAACUAAAAAUUUGUUUAAAGAUAUUGUUUUAUACUUCCAUUUCUCAGUCGAUAGGAUAAAGAAUAAUAGUAGAAUCGAUGAUAAUGAUUAUUGAAAAUAAAUGCUUUAAUAGACAUCAUGAAAAUAUUUUCAGUUUACAUAUAACUAUAAUAUCUAAAAAUAUAAAUUAUAUAGCUGCCACUAACAAUAGAGAUCAAAAGAAUCUAAAAUACUCAUAUUUUUUUACAUGUUCAUGGAUCGUAAACCUUUUGUUAGAGGAUCGGCCAACAUGGACUCAAUUAUGAUAUUCUUGAUCACAAUGUCUCCCUUUUUGAUCAAGUCCUUAACAGUAUAAUAUUUGAUCUCCAUGUGUUUGGAUGCAUUGUUGAUCUUGUCAUUUUUAGAAUAAAACAUAGCUGCAGUGUUGUAUAGUAUAUCACCAUAGGUCAAGCAAUAUAGUCCAUAACUCGUAAUUCUGAGAUUUUUUAGCCAAACAGCUUGAAUUGAUGCGUCGUAUUACGCUACAAACUCAGUAUACAUUGUAGAGUUUGUAACUAAUGUUUGCUUUGUGCUCUUCCAAGAAAUAGCACCUCCAAUCAUCAUAAAAAUAUAUCCAGAAGUUGAUUUUCUAUCAUUCAAACAACUAGCAAAAUCAGCAUCCGAAUAUCCAAUUAUCUUUAGAUCCUUUAUUCUGCUAUACACGAGCGUGGAGUCUUUUGUUUGUUGUAAAUAUCUCAUCAUCUUUUUAGUUGCAACCUAAUGUUCAUGACUUGGAUUCGACAAAUGUCUCCCAAAAGUAUUCACAACAAAAGCAAUAUCAGGUCCGAUACAUACUUGUGCAUACAUAAGACUGCCAACUGCAGUAGUGUAUGGAAUAUUCUUCAUUACUUCUUUUUCAACAUAAUUCUUGGGGUAUUGUUAUAUGCUAAAUUUAUCUCAUUUCACAACGGGAACUUCACCAAACUUGUAGGUUUGUAUAUUGAAUCUUUUCAAAACACGAUCUAUAUAAAUUUUCUGAGAUAACCCUAGAACUUUUUUAGAUUUGUUGCAAUGAAUCUCAAUGCCUAGAACAAAAGAGGGUUUUCCCCAAGGUAUUUUAUCUCAAACUUUGUAGAUAGAAAACUUUUUAUGUCAUUCAAUAGGUCAACAUCUCUACUAGCAAGCAAAAUGUUAUCUCCAUAAAGUACUAAGAAAAUAUAUUUACUCCAACUUACUUUCAUGUAGAUGCAUUGAUUAAACUUGUUUUCUUUAAAGCCAAAUGAUCCGCAACCUUGUGAAAAUUCAAGCACCACUGAUGUGAUACUUGUUUGAGAUCAUAAAUUGACCUCUAAAGUUUGCACACCAUAUGCUCAUUUCCGACUUCUUUAAAUCUUUUAGGUUGUUGCAUAUAUACUUCUUCAUCCAAAUCUCAAUUUAGAAAUGCUGUCUUGACACAAAACUCUAAGUCAAAAUGAGUCACCAAUACCAUGAUUAUCCGAAAUGAGUCUUUAGUAGACAUUUGAGAAAAUAUUGCAGUAUAAUCAAUGCCUUCUCUGUGUGUGUACCCCUUUGCGACUAAUCUUGCCUUGAAUCUUUCUAUGUUGCAUUUAUUGUCUUUCUUGGUUUUGAUACCCAUUUGCAACCAAUCGGUUUAUAACCAUCAAGUAAAUUAACAAGUUCUCAUACUUGAUUAUUUGACAUGGAAAUCAUCUUGUCCUUCAUCGCUCCUAACCAUUCAUCUGCCUGAUCACUAUUAAGAGCUUCUUUAAAGGUCCACAGAUCAAUUAUAUGCCCAAUGUCAAAAUCAACUUCUCCAAGAUAGAUAUAAUAAUCAUUUAGAGGCGUUCGUCUUCUUUGUCACUGUGAUCUUCACACAAGCAUUUGCUAGAGCUGCAUCAUUCGUUUGGGGAAUUUGAUUUAUAGAAGGAUCUACUGCCAUAUCUCCAGUAUUUACUUCUUGCUUAAUUUCCACUCUAUAAGGCUCUUGCAUUGAAUCAUCAUUCAAGAUGGGUAAUGGAAUAUAGAUCGUUUUGUUUGGUUAUCCCUUUCGAAAUAUUGAAAAGAAUUUUUUUAAGCAACAUCUAAUUUCAGGAAUUUGGCAAUUUGCGAUUCAACGAUCCUAGUGCCACAAGUAGGACAAUAGAACUUAUACACUUUGGAAUGGUUAGGGUACUCAAUAAAAUAACAUCUAGUAGUCUUGAGUUCGAUCUUCUUCUAAGAAUGAUCAUAAAUUUUCACCUCUGUAGGACGCCCCCAAACUUGAAAGUGAUUCAAACUUGGUUUCCUCCCUAUCCACAAUUCAAAAUGUGUUUUUGGCACUGAUUUACUAGGUACAUGGUCCAAUAUAUAAGUUGUUGUUUUAAUUGCAUCACCCCAUAAGUAUUCAAGCAAAUUAAAAUUGUUCAUCAUACUUCAUUUCAUCUUCAUGAGUGGGUGAUUGCGCCGUUCAGCUACACCAUUUUGUUCAGGAUUCCAAAGUAUUGUAUAUUGAGCAACAAUACCAUAGUCUUGCAAAUAUUUAGCAAACGAUCACAUUUGUUGUCCAGUCUCAGUAUAUCACCCAUAAUAUUCACCACCUCGAUAAGAGCGGACAAUCUUGAUAAUUUUUCUCAAUUAUUUCUCAAUUUAAGUGCGAAACACUUUGAAUAUGUCAAGAGCAUAAGUCUUCUCCUUAAUUAGAUAAAUAUAACAAUAACGGGAGAAAUCAUCAAUGAAUGUGAUGAAAUAUUUAUUUCCACACAAGGUGUUGAGUAUGACCCACUAAUAUUCGUAUAAAUUAUCUCCAAUAGAUUUUGACUACGAGUAGUGCCUUUCUUCUUGAUUUUAGUCAAUUUUUCCCUCACACAAUCAAUACAAGUCUCAAUAUCAUCUAAGUCAAGAGAAGUAAGAAUAUCAAUCUUGAUGAGUCACUUUACCAUUUCUUUAGAGAUAUGCCCUAAUCGCUUAUGCCAUAAUAAUGAAAAUCUUUCUUUGAUUAAGGAUCUCUUAGCAACUUUAUUCUCGACAUUGAAAGAACAAUAUGGUCUAUUGGGAGAAAAAAAAAUUGAUAUAAUCCUUCAGACAAAACACAAUUCUCAAUUAUUUUGGAAUCAUAACUCAAAUCCACUCUUUUAUUUGCAAAAUAAAGACAAUAUCUAACUUUGUCAAGCAAAGAAAGAGAUAUCAAAUUUCUCCUAAAACCAUGAACAUAAAAAAAAUUAUUCAAAAUAAGCUGAAAACCAGAGUCUAAAUUCAAAACAAUUGUUCCUAUGCGCUCCACAUCAACUCCAACAUCGUUUCCAACUUUAAACUUUGACUUUCUCAAACUUUGAUUCCUUAUAUUUGUAAGACCCUGUAAAUUAGUAGUUACAUGAACAGUAGCACCAGAAGCAAGUGAUCAAGAAUUCAAAGGAACAUCAACUAGAUUUGAUUAAAAAAAACCAACAACUCACCUUGGUGACUUUCUUAUUUUGCUUUUAGCCAAACUUUGAACUUGUAGCAAUUGGCUUUAUUUUGACCCUGUUUCUUGCAGUGAAAACACUUGAAAUUAUUAUCUCAAUUUCUUCCAUGAUUCCCAUUUUUCUUGAAGUCUUGGCCUUUCUUUGGAUCAUGAGCAUUUGACAUUUUAGGCUUCCAUUUUCCUCUAAAUGAACUCAACUUGGCAUUGGCAAUUAAGUAGGUGGAUUCAUACUUCUCAUUCUUUAACUUAUCCUCCUCAAUCACAUAUUUGGUAAUCAAGGCAUUGAUGCUCCCUGUCUCAUUCUAAGCGCUAUAAUCAAUCUUAAUCUAGCUAAAUUCAGCUGGCAUAACAUUUAAGGCGUGAUGCACAACAUAAUCUUUAGAAAGGACAAUGUCAUGGGCCUUACGUUUAGACUGAAUAUGGGCCAUCUUUAAUGUAAAUUCUCUAACACCCAUAGCAGCAUCAUAUCUCAUAUUUGUUAACUCACUCAGCAAGUUCCCAACUUUAGCCUUAUCUAAGACUCUAUAUCUUUCUCCCAUUACUUCAAGGAAUUAUCUCACAUUCUUAUCUUCCAGCAAAUCACUAAUGAGAUGCUUAGCAAUAUACCUCUUCAUAGCAAUGAGGCUUAGUUGGUUGGAUUUUUCCCAUCUAGUAUAAUGAGCCUUUUGAUUUGCAGUAUUUUGAUCAUUGGGCUUGGAAGGUUCAUCCUCACACAGAGCCAAGUUCAUAUCCACAAUUAUAAGAGCAAACUCUAUGUCUUACUUCUAUAUCUUGAAGUUUGAUCUAGUUAACAUUUCAAUUGUGUCAUUGUUGUUGUUUACAGUAAAGGUAAUUGUUUAUUACACAUAAUGCAAUAAGAUUAAUUAUGGGUAAUAAGCAAUUUAACAAAAAUAAUUAGUACAUUAUAAACCCCUCUUUGGGCAGAGUGUACAAUGUAUCAUUAUUUUCCACAACAUGAAGUUUAUAAAGAGACAAUAAGAAAAAUUACAUAUAAUUGUCAAAGAUCCAUCUCCUUUGGGUAGACAAAUCCUUUAAAUUAUAAAUCUCCAUAAUAACAAUAUAUAAAAACGAUAAGGAGAAUUACAUAUAAUCAUCAAGAACUUAUUCGUUUUGUGCAAACAAGACCUUUAAAUUAUACAUCUCCAUUAUCACAACUCCAUUAUCACAACAUAGAGGAGAAUUACACAUAACUCUAAAAAUUUAUCCCCUUUAGGAAGAUAGAACUUUUGAGUCAUACAUCCCCUUCAAUCAUAUCUAUUAUAUCAAUAUAGAAGGGAAUUAUAUAUAAUUUUCAAAAAAUUUAUCCCUUUUGGCUAGAUAAAUAUUUUUCAAUUAUACAUCCCCAUCUUUUAAAUUGGGAAUUAAUCUUCAUGCAAUUUUUCAAAUUAAUAUACACAAUAAUACUUUUGGGCGAGUAAUUGUAUAUACUAAUUUUAAUCAAUAGGGAACUCCAAAAGAAAUUUAUAUAUGAUGUUCUAGUUAAUCAAUGUCCAAAAUUCAUCCAACAAUAUGAAGCACUUUACGACAUAUGUUUCCCAAGAUCAUAUUGUAUUUAUCAAACAACAAUUUUUGCCACAAUUUUUAAUUUUUAAUUUUUUUAUUCCAUAUUUUUUCAUGUAAUUAAAUAUGGAUAACAAUAAAUAAUUCCAAAUAGAUAUUUAAAUAUUCCUAAAUUAUAAUUAAUCAUACCAAAUUUUUGUUAAAUUAAAAUUAGGCAUAUUAAAAGAAAAUUAGAAAACAAACCCAUUGGACCCGUACAGCCCAAGCCUUUGCUUGAAUCGCACGGAUCAAGUCUCCUCUCUAAGGCUCACAAAGACUAAGGCCACACGAAGCCCAAGCCUUCCCCCGGCCCACGCGGUCCCCUCCUCUUUAGUGCUACACGACGCCCAAGCUUUCACACGGGCUCCAUGGUCCAACUCUCGGCUUGGAACGGGUGGGCCAAAGGAUAGCCGCGUUAGGCUCAGCUAAUAGAAUUGAAUCCAUGUUCCAGGAACAACAGAAAAAAAAAAAAAAAUUGGGCUUACACCCAUAAAUUAGCCUUAGCCUGGCUAGAGGUCUUCUUCAACCUCUAGCAAGGUCUUGAAAUUUUGCAAAUCGGGUCACACGACCCAAUUUCGACCUGAACCUAAAAAAAAAAAAAACUUAUUAAGGUUGUUUUUGAUGAAAUUUUUCCAUGGGUCUUACUUUUAACAUCAAUAUAAUUUGACUAGAGUGAAUUAAAUGAAGAACAAAUGAAGAAAGAAAAAAAUCAUCCAUAUUCAAGCUUCAAAAUUUCUGAUCUAACACCCAUGGUUGAAACUCGGUUUUCUCAAGUUUAAGCCCAAAAAAACUCACCUUAAUGCAACCAAAAGAUUCUAAUAUAUAUAACAAUACUCAUGCGACAAUUUAUAACAAAUAUCAUUCAAUUGCAAGUAAUUUAAAAAUUCUAGGACUUUUUCAAGGUAUAAACCCUAAAAUUUCAAAUUCAAAAUUCUCGCCCAAUUCUCAACGAAACUAUACAAGUUAUAUAUGGUUGGAAAAUCUUGACAUGUAGAACAAAAACCCUACGGUUUUAGAGUCAAUUGAUCUAAAAAUCCACAUGAAAAAAUAACGACAAUAUUCGGUUCAAAAAAAUUUCAAACUUGUUCAUUAAAAAAAUAAUUUUGGGUUCUACAAUCAUAUAUGACAUGCUCUAAUACCACAUGUAGAAAAUUAUCCGCAUAAAUAACUAAUUAAUCAAGAACAAGCAAAUCUACAUAUGACUGUGAAACACCAAAAUCGAUAUGCACAACGGAAUUAAAACAUACCUAUUUGAACCAUUGCUUCACUUGAAUAAAAAUAUAUCAAUCUAUUUAUAAUCAGAGAUCUAUUGGAAUGCUAGAUCUUCCUCUAUAUGACUUAUUUUAGUAUAACAACUUUUAAUAGGAUUAAGCGACUAAUAGGCAUAACCUACCCUUUUAUAGACUAGAGAGGGGAUCUAACAAAUCCUAAUCAAUAGUGUGUCAAUUGAGCCUCUCCCAUUACGGGCUUCAGUUAAACACAAUUGCCUAUAUUUUGCUACUCAACUAGGCUGUUAUUAAUAUAUGUCAAAAUCCAAUAUAAUAAGAUCACUUAAGGGUUUAACAAAUAUUGGGAUAUAUAUUAACUCAAUUAUUUAAAAUAUAAAAUCAAUUAAUUAAUGUAAGUCCAUAUUAUUGAAAAUUUCCAACAUCUAAUGCUCCGAUCACCUUCAUGAAACUUAUGAAUAUAGUCCUUCGCCCAUUUACUAGUUGCUUUGUGGUUGGCUACUUGAUAAUAUCCUUGUUUUAUAGCAAGAACGAGGAAGAAUAAAUGUCUCCAUUAAGACAAAUCUUUGAAGUUAUGAGGAAACAAAGUUAGAUGCCAAGCCGAAAGAGUGCCAGUUCAUCUUUUUAAAAUUAAAUUCCUUGGUUGUGCGGUUUUUAAAGAUGGAACUUUUGUAGACAAAUUAAAGACAGACAAUGUAGACGUGACUGGUUCCAAAAUCCAUUUCUAAUUUGAUGAGUUUUCAUGAUCUAGACUCUUUCUACCAAUGAUUUAUUUGAUAAAUUCCUCCCCUUGUCAACAUAUUCUAUUGUCUAGCAGGAAAUAUGCUUACUUGUUUUGUGAAGCACUUUAGCACAAUCACGGCUCUUAUUGCUGAACACAUGAAAAAGGGAUCUCUCGAAUGGUUCGAGGCCACCUACAAUGCCCUUAAAGUCAUCAAACAAAAGUUUGUAAUUCUCCUAUCUUUGCUCUUCCAGAUUUUCAUGAAGUUUUUGAAAUAGAAUGAGGAAAGUGGAGUUGGCAUUGGGUUGUCCCAAUCCAAGUCCCAAACCUCUGGCAUAUUUCAAUGAAAAGUUGACAGGUUAAGAUGCUCUUAUGAAAGGAUUCUAUGCCAUUAUGAGAGCAUUUGAUUGUUGGAAUCAUUACUUGAGGCAUAGACAACCAGAUGUUUGCUUUGAUCAUGAGGUUCUCAAGUACAUUAGUGGCUAGCACAAGCUCAAUUCGAGACAUGUCAAAUAGGUAGACUUUCUUCAAUUCUUUUCUUUUGUCUCAAAAUAUAGACCUGACAACACUAACGAUGUAGCAUAUGCUCUAUCAAGCAAAUAUUCAAUGCUUACUACUCGACUUGGUUGUUAGCUUCAAUUUGAUGAAAGAACUCUAUUAGGAGGAUCUAGAGUUUUCAUCCAGAGGUGUUUAUACAAUCCAAGAAAGGUUCUUCUUUAGAAAUAAUAAGCUUUGUAUGUCAAAGAGUUCCUUAAGAGAAUUACUGAUCUGAGAAAUACAUGGAGGAGGAUUGGCUGGCCACUUUGAUAUUAACAACUGUUGAAGUCCUGCAAGAACCUUUUUUAUUGGUCCAAGAAGAAUGGGGAUAUGCAUACUAUCAUUCUGAUGUGUUCAACUUGUCAAGCAAGGUAUCACAUCCAUAAAAAGAUUUAUACUUCACUUUUGUUUCCAUCGCGACCCCGGGAGGAUGUAUGAAUGUCAUUGUGGCUCUUCAAAAACACGUAAGGGGAAAUGAUGAAAAUAUAGUUGUGGAUGUUCAAUUUUCUAAAAGGCUUAUUAUAUUUCGUGUCACAAGAUGAAUGAUGCUUCCCUCUUCAUUGUAGUAUAUAUUGCAAGGAGAUCAUUUGCCUUAAUAGAGCUCCCAAAACUAAUGUAUCAAAUUGUGAUUCCAAAUUCUUGAGUUACUUUUGGAAGACCCUACGGAGGAUUCUUGGUACCAAACUUCUAUCUUAUACCACUUGUCAUCACCAAACGGAUGGCUAACGAAGUCAAAUGAGCACAUUCUUACCACUCUCUUUCAUAGUAUGGUGAGUAAGACUUUCAAGAACCACAAUAUGAAACUUGCACAUGUCGAAUUAACUUAUAAUGGCUUUCUAAAAUACAUCAUAGGUCUUCAUUUGAAGUUAUGUAUGGGAUUAAUUAUCUCACCCCUCUCGACUUGAUUCCCAUUAUCCAACUCGCAAAUAUAAGUAUUAAUUGGAUAAGUAGGUAUGGGAGUACUUUUUAAAAAAAAAUUGACCUCUCUCUCUUAGCUCUCAAACUCUAGAAACUGCACCAGUGAAAGAAUGUUGAGGAGAAAUAUGGAAAAUUUGUAUAAAGCUAUACUCAUGCACGUAUAUUGCCUGGUGAACUUCAAUGAUACUUUAACAAAUGAAAGUGGGUAAAACUUUUGUGAUUGGCAGGGAAAGUGGCUAUGAAACUGCAGGCCAUUUCAUAGAGAUAAUGUAAGGACAGGGCUUCAUCAGCAGACACAAUAGUAGCACCUGCAACAAUUAUUCACUUCAACAAAAAUAAACAGACGAGACAUAAGCCAAUGACUCAUAAAACAUAACUCUGCAUAUGUCCAAUAUAUAUUGCUCAUAGUAGACAACCACAAAGCACCAGCCUUAUCAUCAUCUCCAACUUUGAUGAUUGAAGACGACUCUUCAGAGAAAAUCCCAUAUAAGUUCAUCCAACUCCCACAUAAAACAUUGACCAAAGAAGGACAAAACCAACAACAAAAUACAGUUGUAAACUCACAUAAUAAGGGGGGAGAAAAGGUCUAGUGUCAUUCCCCUCCCCACCCCCCCACACACACACACCAGGUAAUUUAAACUAGAACAUUUGCUUCACUUCUGGCUCCUCAUGGCAAGAACCUUGGCCCAAGCAGGCCGGGCCAUGAUGUCGGCCACCCACGCGCUCACCUUGGGGCGGGCGUCGAACAGCUUCUUCAAUGGCGUCCCCAUCAGGUUGGUCAGGGUCGGGAGGUGGUGGAGGUCAGCGAGCGUGAAGCAGUCGCAGCCCAAGUACUUGGACUGGCUCAGCCGGGCCUCGUAGACAUCGAGGACCUUGGCGAGCUUGGGCUCGUUCUCCUCAACUACAGCAGCGUCCAUGGCCAUGCCGAACAUCGGCUUGUACACGAGCUCCCACUGCAGCUUCGACGCCAAGGUGUCAAACUGGUGGGCCUCGACCUCCAUCCACACACCAACCGUCGCCAUGGGUUUGCCCUCACAGACGAGCGGAGUGCCCUUGUCCGCGUACGCAUGAGCAAUGUAUCCAGUAAUUGCCCUUGAUUCUGCCGCCACAAAGUGCAUAAUUUAAAUACGAGUAUAUUUCGCAGAGUUGUUUACUCGUUCAGUCGACCGAUUGAACACGCAAAAAUUAACUACACACUUGAUCUUUAAUCACGGUUAGACUAUCUAUCAGCCAUCAAAUCAGAACCUUCGAGUAAUACUUUCAUCUUUCAUCAUGCUCACAGAAGACAACCUAUUAUUAAUAGAACGACUCACCGAACAGCUUCAAAUCUCCGUCCUCAAAGGCUGGGACUUGACCGAAAGGCUGCAAGGAGAGAUCGAGAAACGUUAGAUCCGACCCCAAGAUCAGAAAUCAGCGAGGAUUACCGUCCAACAAAUGGUGCGCAGGGACGGAGACUUACGUUGAGGGCGAGGAAGGGCUCCUUCUUGUGCUCGCCAGCUCGCAGGUCGACCGGGACGAACUCGAACUCAAGGUCCUUCUCGUAGAGGGUAGCGAAGACCCGCAUCGUUGCGGUGGAGGCGACGCCUCCAUGGACCUUCAUCACCAUGAUUGCUUGCUCUACUUUCCUCUUUUUCCCCUCAAGAACUAAACGCCGAACAAAAUGUGGCGAAUGACGGUGGGUUCUGGGCUCUUUUUAUAAGGCCUUAGCGAUCUUGUCCUGGAACAAUCUUUAUCAAAUUAUUGUGUAUAAUUUAUAUGAAAUGAAGAUGAGUAAAGGUACAGAGAGAGAGUGAGUGCCAAAGCAAAAUGACUCUCUCCUCCUCCUGCGGCUGCGCGGGUCGGAGAGAGGGCGACGCAUGCGAUGGCUGCCUAGUCAUUUUAACGUUCUCGUACGACUUUAAUGGUUGUUUUUCUGCGUUUAGUUCUCGAGGGAAAAAGAGAAAGCACACACCUAUGUGCAUACAUCACACCGCAAUACGGAAGCAUCUGCGAAACGGGCAUCCAAGUCGGAAGCAAGACCUUUCGAUGGGCAAGAAAGUAAUCCUCUCUUUUGAAAGACUCGAGGAGACACGGUUCAUAUUUCAAAAAUGAGAGAAAAUAGAAGGGAAAGAGCGGAAAUUUAAAUGUACUUUUUCUUGCGAUUUUCUGUUGAAGUUUUCUCAUCACUCUCUUCAUCCAGGAUUUCAAACAUAAGGGAAGGGCUAAAAAUUGAAUUCGAUCUAUAAUUACAAGUAGCACGAGAAAGACAGUAUGUUGAAAUUUGCGUUAUUUUCUUUGUCAGUGCUCAAUAAGCUUACGGAAAAACUUUUUGACAAAACUCAAGAUAGGACAAUUUUCAUUUGACCCCACCAUUUUAGUCAUUGCUUGCAACUGUAUAAUAAAAGUGAGCAGAAUCGGCUAGAAUUUGCCCAUAACAUUAUCAAAUGGUUAUUGACUAAAGUUGAAAUGAUACAAUGGUAAUUUCAAGCUACAAAUAUGUCCUAACCCAGGAGUUUCUUCUUAGAUUCAUUAUCACAUGGUUACUUUCGUGCUUGCUACUUUAGAAAAAGGUGAGUAAUUUAAAUCAAAUUUUGUUAUAGCUCAUAGCCUAUCAUUUUAAGAAUGUUUGGUUCCUUUUGAUUAAAUUUUUCUUAGUCUAAUAUUUUUGUUAAAGGACAAUGACAAACCAAAGUUUGUGUUCUUCUUUUUGCAAUUACAUGGUAAAGACAAAGUUUAAGAUGGAUACCGCAAGAGUUGCCCUUUUUAUUUUGACAUGGUCAACAUGUGUGGAGCCCAAAGAAAAAGAGAAAGGAAAAGGAGAGGGAGAGAGGAAGAGAGAGAAAAGAAAAAAAGAAAAGAAGAAAGAAGAGGAAGAAAGGGAAAGGGAAAGAAGAGGGUUUUGCGCCGUGAACACCUCGUCCAAUCGAUUUAAUCAUAUAUUGCAAUGUUCGGUCAAUAUUCACAUCCUUCAUUUAUCUAAUCAGAGUAAUUUUUUGGGUUAGGUUCAAAUAUGGGGCUUUGUGAAUUUUGAACUAGGAGGUUUGAUUAAGAGUUGUUGACUUACAAAGGUACGUAAAAAAAAAUAGUUUAGAGUGCUGUGGAGCCAAAAAAUUUUACGGAAUUUGAUUUGGACUUACAAUUUACUUGAAAGAAAAUUUUGAAAUUGGCUCCAGUGAUGAACAGUGCAUGACUGAUGGCUUUCGGGUCGAUUUUUGACCGUUUUGGGCUCAAUUUUGAGUCAACCAGGCUACGAGUGUUCUAGUGUUUCAAAAUAUCCUCCUUUUUAUUGUAAGCUCACUUGAAAUGGGAUUCAAUGGGGAGAGUUAUGAUGUGAUUGAAUUUUUGGACUCAAGCUGUGUGUUGCAAGAUAACUAAUCUGUUUUGGAUGAGAGUUCCAUUAGUGCAUAGGCGUCAUUUCAUAAGCGUUUCAGCUUAGUAUAAUUGUUUCGUACUUGUUGUGGUAUUUCACUUGAUUUUGAUGUUGAUUCUUGUUUAACUGUUGGGAUUAUGAGAUUGUCAACGCAUAUAACUACGUUGUUUGAUCGUAGGCAUUUCGAAAUGAGUGUUGUUAUUUAUUCUUUGAGUUUGUGAUUUCAUGUUUGAAACUGAAAUAACAUUUUUAUUGCAUGAAAAUAUGUAGUGGGCAUUUACUGCUCUUCGAUUUUUUGAGAACGGUUUGAGAAACAUACACAAUGACACAUGGAGUGCUAAAAUUUGGCAUGAAGGAACAUUUAAGUGCAAAAAAUUAGAAAAGUGAUACUUAAGUGUCAAAAUCGGAGCAAAAUGGAUCAGUUAAGUGCCAACGGUGAGAAAAUUCGGCUAAAAUGCUGACGUAGCGAAUUUCCAGUGAACCCAGUGCAAAACAAUGUCGUUUUGCACUCUGAUGUGGCUAAAAAGUGUCAAAACAAUGUCAUUUUGGUGCUGAUGUGGUAAAUAAUUAAUAUAAAAAUUAAUUAAAUUAAAUUAAAUUUAAAACCAAAUUUAAAAAAAAAAAAGUAAGGGAGGAGGAAGAUGAACAGGUGGCGGCGGCAAUCCUCCCUUCCCUAUUUUAUUUAUUUAUUUAUUUGAUUUUAAAUUUAAUUUAAUUAAUUUUCAUAUUAAAUUUCGAAUUGUACCAAAACGACAUUGUUUUAAUGUUUAUUUGUUGAGUCAGCCUUCCGGCAAGCCAUGUAAGCGAGAAAAAUUAAUAAAAAAUUGUCACGUGAGUUUUUUGACAAGUUCAUUGGAUGUGGUAUUCAAGUGUCCCAUUUUUUUUUUUAAAUGACACUUAAAUAUCAAUUUCUUAAUUUUUAGCAUUUAAAUGUCUUUUUGUGCCAAGUUUUGGCACUUGAAUUGUUCUUUUGCUGAAAAUAUUGUGAAAGUUUAUAUAUGUGUUGCAAACUGAUCUAUAAGAUGAUUUCUAAAAUGAUUUGGAAAAUGUUAAUCACAAACAUUUUGAAAUGUUAUUGAUUUAUGAAAUGAAUUUUGAAAUAGUGUGAGAAAUGUCCCGUAAAGGAAAGGUCAAUCUGAAAUUGGUGUCCAUGAUUGAUGUUGGGACAAUCUUAAACUGAGAUCUAUCUAAGACCCAAACGCAUUUUCAAGAGUAAUUGAGAAGCGAAAAUAUUCAACGGAUCCAGAGUUCCAAAUUAGCAGCUGAUGUAGCAUGCGUUUAUUUAUUCACGUCAAUUAUAAGUUGCCACAUGGAUCUGACUUGAAAUCAAAUAAAAAACUGGAAAUUUUGAUUUUACUCUGUGUUUCGCCUCCAUUAACCUUUCUCUUCUGCCUCCAUCCAUGGCCAGCCUUGAAACACGAGCGACGAAGGAGCGGGUUUAGAUGACGCCAACGGAGCAUUGCCCACAAGCACCCAUAUUUCCAAAUCUAAAGGUGGACAUUGCUUUAGAUCUUGUCAACGGUUUAGAUGACAUGUACGAUGGAGCCUUGGCUGUGAGCGCCUGAAUUUCCAUAUGUGGACUUGGGCGCUACUACAAAUUCGGCCGAACGACACUGAUGACAGCCAUGGACAAGGGUCGGCAUCACUUGCGAGCCUAGCUUGUCCACUGGCUGCCUAGACGCGGUGACAUGAUUACAAAGCAACGCGAGUGCAGACUAGUGCCCAACUGGUGAUGUCACUAGUCCAUGACUGGUGACGGAAGUGCAGAGCAAUGCGCCAUGGCUCUGUCUGCCUCUCGGCGCCGCAAUCUCAUCUUCGUGGUCAAUCCUCCAGGUUGGCUCUCUCCACACCGGCCUAGACGCAGCGUCCGUGAUUGUGGAUGAGAGAGGAAGAAGAGAUCUGGGCAUUUCGAGCAUGAGGAGGAGGAAGAUAUCAAGGUAAUUUAUUUAUUUAUUUUUUAUUUGAUUCAUUUCAUGCCAAUAUAUAUGUGUGUGUGUGUGUGUCAAUAUAUAAUUGUAUUUGAGAAUAUAAUAAGUGCCAUAUUAUAUAUUAACGUGUCGCUUGAAAGCCACUUAAUAUUUUGUGGAGAGAGAAUUUGUCCACAAGUAGUCCGAAUAAUUGCCCCUCUUCGUAAUACGGCAACCAAAUUUAUGUUUUUAGCAUUUUUCUGCAAAAUCCAUCAUAACCCUCUAAAUAUAUUUCUUGUUCAAUUGAGAACGAAGUGGCCAUUGGGCUAACUUUACAAGAUGAGAUUAGGAGAUAUGAAGAUGAAUACUGAGAAAUGCAUGAGUAUUUAUUAUAUAAGUUGUGAAUCAAGUAAAUUAUCAGUCAUUUUGCCGGCUGAAAUACAAAAUGGAACUUCAGACCAAAUGCACGCACAUGCUGGACCAAAUGAGCUGACCAACUAAUUUCUAAAUGAAAAUGACUAGUGUUGUAUUAAAGCGAAAAGGAAAUUUUCAAAACUAAACUGUCUAAUGUGUUAGAUAUUACGAUGCAAAAUUGGAGAUGUGGGUAUUGGUGUACUUUUGAUUAAAUUUUGAUUUAUUUAUUUUCGUCAGAAAAAACAUACUUUCAUUACUAUCCAGAAGUGGGAUUACACGAGUUUCCGAAAUCAGAAGACAGUCUCUUACUUCUUGAACACUAGAGAAAAUGCAACAGUGUGAGAAGGUUGCGGUGAAAUGUGAAAAGAACUUAUAAAUCUAUCCUUGUACAUGAAUAUUGUCUAGUGAACUUCUAUGGUACUUUAACAACUGAAAAUGGGUACAGAUCUAGUGAUUGGUGGGGAAAGUGGUUAUGAAACCGUAGGCCAUUCCCAUGGAGAUGAUGCAAGGACAGGGCUUCAUCAGCAGAAACAAAACCAGCACUUCCCGCAACUAUUACUACUGAAGCUAUAAAAGUGAGACAUUAGAAACUUAACUCUCUCUUUAUCAGUCAAGUCUUCAUUACCCAGGAUAGACAUUCACAAGACACCAUCCUCAUCAUCAUCCCCAACACCAGAUAAUUUGAACUAGACCCUGUGCUUCACUGCUGGUUCCUCAUGGCAAGAACCUUGGCCCAAGCAGGCCGGGCCACGAUGUCAGCCACCCAUGCGCUCACCUUGGGGCGGGCAUCGAACAGCUUCUUCAAUGGUGUCCCCAUCAGGUUGGUCAGGGCUGGGAGGUGGUGGAGGUCGGCCAGGGUGAAGCAGUCACAGCCCAAGUACUUGGACUGGCUCAGCCGAGCCUCGUAGACAUCGAGGACCUUGGCGAGCUUGGCCUCGUUCUCCUCGACUACAGCAGCGUCCGUGGCCAUGUCAAGCCUUGGAUUGUACACGAGCUCCCACUGCAGCUUCACCGCCAGGGGGUCAAACUGGAGGGCCUCGACCUCCAUCCACACGCCAACCGUCGCCAUUGGUUUGCCCUCACAGACGAGCGGAGUGCCCUUGUCCGCGUAUACAUGAGCAAUGUACUGAGUAAUUGCCCUGGAUUCUGCCACCACAAAGUGCAUAAUCGAAAUGCGAGUAUAUUUCGUAUAGUUGUUUCUCGUUCAUUUGACUGAUCGAACGCUCAAAACUUAACUACACACUUUAUCUUUCAUCAUGGUCACACAAUCUACCAGCGAUCGAAUCAGCACCUUCGACUAUAUAAUUUCAUCUUUCAUCACCAUUAGUCAAUUAGUCUUACUCGCAUUUGGAACUCGAGCCCAACCUGACUCAACGCCAUUAGUCAAUAAGUCUUACUUGCAACUUGAACUAAAGUCAAACUCAAGCACGGAGAGGAGACUAACAAAUCUUCACAACAUACAAGCUCAUUGUUCUAAAAACGAGAUAACCUUACUACGACACAACCAAAUUGAUAAUUAUGACACUACUAAUUUUAUAUCGUUAUGAAUUGACACGUUUUCACUCACUUUUAAUAAUCAAUAUGUUAUAAUCACAUUAAAUGCAUUCAAAGUAAUUACAUAAAGGAAAAAGACACAAACAAAUUGCCAAUCGCAUUCACCAAUACUAUGCUGUAAUUAUUUUAUCUCAUGAGUGAGCUAAAAAUGUGGUUUCUCAUCGUUUCUUUUAAUUUUAGAAUAAACCCAAAAUGAAUGUUUUGUCCUUGGGACUCUGAAAUCUGGAUAUUGGUUUGACCUAAUCUCCUACUAAUUUUAAAAUAACAUAUACAUACCGAGUAUAUUCAUUUCGGUAAUAGAUGAGUCACUUUCGAAAGGUUUGCAUUGCUUUUUCUAAAGUUAAAACUUUCAAAAAAAAAUUCCAGUUUAAAAAGCCGGUACAUGGGCGCACGAUUUUGGUAUCGUACAGACAGACGAAGUUCACUAGUCAUGAUAAUGCCAGAUGUUAAGGUCAAAUGUUUUCUUUUCCUUUACCCUUUUAUUUCACCUUGAAUUGAGACCAUUACUUAAGUGCAAUUGUUCCUCAAGAGGGUCGGUCCCGACCUAGAAGCCAAACCAGCCGGCUCAAAGGGUGCUCCUUUUUCUUAAAUAAAUUGAAAAGUCCAUUGUUAUGUUCCUGAUUGUACAUUCAAAACAUAAUAGUUGCUCUCCGUUCGAUGCUUAUGAGAGCAUUGUUUUAUAUAGGAGUCUAUGAUUCAAACCUUGGUGGACGUGAAACACAAAUUGUGUUUUCAAAGGGGAAAGGAGUAAAUCAAGGCCGCUGAGCCAUUCCUGUGAAAUCGGAAAUCAAAUAAAUUUAAUGUUGGUUACGGGUCCCGUGAAUCGAAAAUUUGACCGGCUCCUCAAGGCCUGCUAAAAAUAUAUCGUUUAGAAUGGUACAAACGAUUCUUGGGUCUAAUGGGGCCCGAUUGCACCCCUUACCAUGACACCCACCAAAGUUUUUUGAAGGAUGGAGUACCUCCCCAUGGUUAAUACCAAGGACCUUCGAAUCAGCAGUUUUUGCUCUUUGUAGGGGCAAAAUUGAGUCAAGCUACUCACAGAAAGCUUGAGUUCAGCCACUAAAUACUUGAGAUUGAUUAGUUUGAUUUUGAAUAGAGUUCAAGUUACAUAAAUAUUUUGUUGAGUCAAGUUUAGCUCCACAAGCCGUGAGUCUAAUUGACAUUAUAUGAUAUAUGUACAUGGCAAGAAAGUUUAUCUUAAACAUGUAAUUCCCAAAUCAAUGAAAUAUAUCUCACUAACCUCAUGAACUAGGUAAAGUUAAUGAGCUAAAGUCUAAGUGGGCAGCCGAAAGAAAAAAACAAUUUGAGUAGGAUUGAGCAUAGUACUUGACCGUGAAUAAUUUAAUAAUAAUAGCAAUAUCAAUUUACUUAAUCGUGAAUUAUUUCAUAAUAAUAGCAAAAUCAAUUUGUAACAACUCAUUAAUAGAAUGACUCACCUAACAGCUUCAAAUCUUCGUCCUCGAAGGCCGGGACUUGACCGAAAGGCUGCACAGAGAGAUCGAGAAACGUUGGAUCGGAGAGACGAAGGAAGGGUUUCUCGAAAGAGCACGUUGAAACCCCAAGACCAUCCAACAUGUAGUGCGCAGGGACGGAGACUUACGUUGAGGCCGAGGAAGUGCUCUUUCUUGUGCUCGCCGGCCCGCAAGUCGAUGGGGACGAACAGAAACUCUAGGUCUUUCUCGUAGAGGGCGGCGAAGACCCGCAUCGUCGCGGUGGAGAUGACGGCUCCAUGGACCUUCAUCACCAUGAUUGCUUGCUCUACUUUCUCUUUUUCCCUCGAGAACUAAACGCAGAAAAAAUUGUAGUGGACGAUGGUGGGUUUUGGGCUCUUUUUGUACGGCCUUAGCGAUCUUGUCCUGGAAUGAUCUUUUAUGAAAUGGUGUAUACUUCAUAUGAGAUGGAGACGACUAGAGAGAGAGAGAGAGAGAGAGGGUGUCAAAGCAAAACGACUCCUCUCCUCCUGCGGCUGCAUUUUCCCGGGGGUAGGAGGAGAGGGUGACGCAUACGAUUGAGUGCGUAGUCAUUUCCAUGUUCUCGUACGACUUUAAUGGCUGUCUGAACAGUUUUUGGUAACUAAAGUCAUUGGGAGGAGGGAACCACACCAAACGCAAUACGUAGCAUCCGCGAAACGGGCAUCCAGUCGGAAGGAAGACCUUUCGACGAGCAAAAAAGUAAUCCUCUCUUUCGAAAGACUCGAGGAACGAUUCAUUUUUAAAAAAUGAGAGAAAAUAGAAGAUAAAAGAGUAGGAAUUCAAAUCUACUCUUUCUUGCCAUUUUUCAGUAGAAGUUUUCUUUAUCCAGGAUUCCAAAUGUAAGGAAAGGGCUAAAUAUUGAAUUUGAUCUAUAAUAUACCGAUUACAAGUAGCACCAGAAAAAUUGUAUAUUGAAAACAACAUUAAUUUCUUUGUGGGUGCUCAAUAAAUUUACGGAAAUAUUUUUUGACAAAACUCAUGAUAGGACAAGUUUCAUUUGACCCCAUCAUUUUAGUCAUUACUUGGAGCUAUAUAAAGAAAGUGAGCAGAAUUGACUAGAAUUUGCCCAUAACAUUAUAAAAGGUUAUUGACUAAAGUUGAAAGGAUACAAUGGUAAUUUCUGGCUAUAAAUAUGUCAUAACCCAAGAGUUUCUUCUUGGAACCAUUAUCCAUAAUGUUUCUUUUGUGCUUACACCGUUAGAAAAAGGUGAGUAAUUUAAAUUGAAUUUUGUUAUUGCUCGUGACCUGCCAUUUUAAGAAUAUUUGGCUACUUCUGAUUAAAUUUUUUUUAGUCUAAAAUAUUUAUAAAGUAAAGGACAAUGACUAAUCAAAGUUUCUGUUCUUCUUUUUGUAAUUACAUGGUGAGACGAAAUUUAAGAUGAAUUCCGUAAUAGUUAAUUUUUUUUAAUUGGUCAACAUGUGUGGAGCUCAAAAAAAAAAAGAAAAAAAAAGGAAAAAGGAAGAUAUAAAAGGAGAAAAGGAGAAGAAGCGAGGAAGAGAGAAGAAAAGAGAAAAGAAGAUGAAGAAAGGGAAAGAGAAAGAGUAGGGUUUUGUGCCGCGAACAACUACUAUGUACCGCAAGAUUCAGUUAAUACUUCACCCUUCAUUCAUCUAAUCGGAGUAAUAUUUGGGGUUGGAAUACAAAUUUGGGGUUUUGUGAAUUUUUAAUUAUGAGGUUCAAUUAAGGAGUCGUUAAGCUACAAAUAUAUUUAAAAAUGAUAGUUUAUAGUGUUAUGGAGUCGUAAGAUUUUACAAAAUUUGAUUUGAACUUACGGUUUGUCCGAAAUAAGAUUUUAAAUUUGGCUACAAGUGAUGAAUGCAUAACCAAUGGCUUUUGGGUCGAAUUUCGAGGGUUUUUGGGCUCAUUUUGGGUUAGCCAAGUUAUGGGUCUUUGAGUGUUUCAAAAAAAUCUUCUUUUUAAUUAUAAGCUCACUUGAAAUGAGGUUCAAUAGACAAAGUAAUAACAUAACCAUCUUUGCACUUAAGCUCUGUGUUGUGGAUAAUUUAAAUAUCUGCUACUCGGUUUGAUGUUGAUUCUUGUUUAAUUGUUAGAAUUAUGAGAUUAUCAACGCUUAUAACUACAUUUAUUGAUCAUAGACAUUUCAAGGUGAGUGGUGCUAUUUUUACAUCGAGUUUGUGACUUCUUGUUCAAAAGUGAUAUAUUAUGGGUCAUGAAAUAACAUUCUUAUUGGAAAAAGAACAUCAUAAGUGCCAAAACUUGAAAUUGAGGACGCUUAAGUGCUAAAAAUUACAAAAGAUAUACUUAAGUGUCAUUUAAAAAAAAUUGGGAUACCCAAAUGCCAAGUUCAGCGACCUUGGCCGAAAAUCCUACAUUACGAGUUUUUAAUAAUAUAACUCACAUAUGUAACUCACCAAAAAGCUUAGUCAACAAAGAAAAGCCAAAACAAUAUCGUUUUGCCUCUGAUUUAAAUUUUAAUAUAAAUAUUAAUUAAAUUAAAUUAUUUUAAAAAAAAAAACAGAGGAGAUGAAGAUUGCAAAAGGCGAAGGCUUGCAUAGCCCUAACCUUCUGCAAUCUUUUUCUUUUAAAAAAAAUUAGUUUUAAGUUUAAUUUAAUUAAUAUUUACAUUCAAAUUCAAAUCCGAGGCAAAACGACGUUAUUUUUUGCUUUUCUUUCGACGUCAGUGUGCAAACGACAUUGUUUUGCAUUUAUCUUGUCGAAAGACGUCACGUUAGCAUUUUGGUUGGAUUUUAUGACCGUUGGUACUUAACUGAUUUAUUUUGCUCUAAUUUUGACAUUUAACUAUACCUUUAUGAACUUUGGGCACUCAAUUGUCCUCAUGUACCUUAGCACUCUUAAGUAUUCGGCUCCCAAUUUUUAUUACAUAAAAAUAUGUAUCACGCAUUUACUACUCUUCAAUUAUUUUAAAGAGAAACGUGUUAUGAAAGGUGUUGUGAAAUUAUUUAUGAGAUGAUUUUUAUAUAUAAGUUGCGAACUGAUUUAUGAGAUGAUUUCUAAAAUGAUUCGGAAAAUUUUUAAUGAAAGAGGUUUCAAAAUGUUACUGAUUUAUAAAAUAAAUACCGAAAUAGUGUGAGAAAUGCCUUGUGAAAGAGAGGUCAAUCUGAGGUUGGUGUCUGUAAUUAACAUUGGGACGACCUCGAAGAGAUCAAUCUGAGACCCAAACGUAUUUUUGAGAGAGAUUGAGAGGAGAAAAUAUUCGGUAGGUUCAAAGUGCCACAUCAGCAUCUCAUGUGGCAUGCAUUUACUUACUCACAUUCAAUUCUCUGCAAUUAUAACUUAACACAUGGAUCUGACUUGGAAUCAAAUAAAAAACUGAAAUUUUUUAUUUUGCUGUGUGUUUGGCCUCCAUUCACCUUUCUGAUCUACCUCCAUCUAUGGCCAACCUUGAGCCACGAGUGACAAGGGAGCGGGUUUAGAUGACGCCGACAGAGCGUCGGCCAUGAGCACCCAUAUUUCCAAAUUUAAAGGUGGACAUUGCUUUAGAUCUUGUCGACGGUUUAGAUGACAUGGAUGAUGGAGCCUUGGCUGUGAGCGCCCGGAUUUCCAUGUCUGGACUUGGGCAAUACUACAAAUUUGGCCGAACGACUCUGAUGAGGACCAUGGACAAAGAUCGGCAUCACUUGCGAGCCUAGUUCGUCCAUUGACGGCCUAGACGCGGUGACACGAUUACAAAGCAACGGGAGUGCAAGCUAGUGCCCAGCUAGUGAUACCACUGGUCCAUGACUGGUGACGGAAGUGCAGAGCAAUGCCCAUGGCUCUCUCCGUCUCUCGGCGCCGUAGUCUCGUCUUCGUGGUCAAUCCUCCAGGUUGGCUCUCUCCACGCCGGCCUAGACACGGCGUCAGUUAUUGUGGAUGAGGGAGGAAGAAGAGAUCUGGGCAUUUUGUGAAUGAGGAGGAGGAAGAUAUCAAGGCAAUUUUUUUUUAUUUGUUUAAUUUCAUGUCAAUAUAUACGUGUUAAUCUAUAAUUGCAUUUGACUAUAUUGAUGUGGCACUCUGAAAUCCCUGUAUAUUUUCUAGAGAGAAUUUGUCCAUUAGUAGUCCGAAUAAUUGCCUAUUUUCGUGAUACAAUUGGCAUCUGCACGAUUCAACCAAAUCUACGCGCAUCUUUUAGGGCACCACUUGGGAUGCUUUUUGCCUUUUCUGCAAAAAUUCUAUCAUAACCCUCUAAAAAUAUGUCACAUUCAAUUCAGAAUGAAGUGACCAUCGGACUAACUUUACAAGAUGAGAUAAGAAGAUGUGAAUAUGAAAACUGAAAAAUACAUGAGGAGUAUUUAUUAUAUAAGUUUUGAUUCAUGUAGUUUAUCAGUCAUCUUGCCGGUUGAAUUACAGAUGGAACUUGACAUUAAAUGCGCCCGCGUGCUGGACCCAGAUGAGCUGACCCAAAACGACUAUUUUCAUAUCAAAGCGAAAAGAAUGAAUUAAUUAUUUGAAAAUUGAACUGUUUAACUUGUACGUGUUAGACAGGACGAUGCAAAAUUGGAUAAGUGAGUACCUUCGGUCUAAUUUUGAUUGAAUUUUUGACUUUUUUUUCUCUUAACUCUGGAACUCUAGAAACUGCAACAGUGAAAGAAUGUUUGAGACUGGAUAAAGAUCUUUGUGAUUGGCAGCGAAAGUGGUUAUGAAACUGGAGGCCAUCCCAUGGAGAUGAUGCAAGAACAGGGCUUCAUCAGUAGAAACAAAACCAGCACUUCCAGCAAUUACUACUAAUGAAGCUAUAAAGAUUAGACGUUAGAAAUAUAACUCUCUCUUUAUUAGUAAAGUCUUUAUUGCUCAGGCUAGACGAUCACGGGACACCAGUCUUAUCAUCAUCUCCAACUUUCAUCAUUGAAGACAACUACGAAAAGUUCAUUUAACUCCCACAUAAUAACAUUGACCAAAGAAGGACAGAAUCAACACCUAAAUACUAAUACCAACUCCCCAAAAAAAUGGGGGUGAAAAAGGUCUCAUACUUCUGUCCCCAACUUCAGAUGGUUUGAAGUAGACCCUGUGCUUCACUGCUUGUUCUUCAUGGCAAGAACCUUGGCCCAAGCGGGCCGGGCCAUGAUGUCGGCCACCCAAGCGCUCACCUUAGGGCGGGCUUCGAACAGCUCCUUCAACGGUGUCCCCAUCAGGUUGGUCAGGGUCGGGAUGUGGUGGAGGUCGGCGAGGGUGAAGCAGUCGCAGCCCAGGUACUUGGACUGGCCCAGCCGCGCCUCGUAGACGUCGAGGACCUUGACGAGCUUGGCCUCGUUCUCCUUGACCGCCGCAGCGUCCACGGCCAUGCCGAACAGCGGCUUGAACACGAGCUCCCACUGCAGCUUCGACGCCACGGGGUCAAACUGGUGGGCCUCGACCUCCAUCCACACGGCCACCGUCGCCAUGGGUUUGCCCUCGCAGACGAGCGGAGCACCCUUGGCGGCGUAUUCAUGAGCAAUGUACUGAGUAAUCGCCCUUGAUUCUGCCACCAUAGACAGCAUAAUCAAGAUAUAAAUUUCAUUUCUCCUAGUCGUUUCUUUUUCAGUCGACUGAUGCAACGCUCAAAGUUUGACUUAAUACUUUCAUCUUUCAUCAUGGUCACACGAUAAUCUAUCAGUGAUAGAACGACUUACCGAAAAGCUUCAAGUCUCCGUCCUCAAAGGCCGGGACUUGACCGAAAGGCUGCACAGAGAGGUUUGAGAAACGUUAGAUCCGAGAGAGACGAAACAGGGUUUCUUCAAAGAACACGUCGAGACCCCCCAAGACCAGAAUCAGCGAGGAAUACAGUUCGAGGCGAUGGGCAGGGACGGGGACUUACGUUGAGGGCGAGGAAAUUCUCCUGCUUGUGCUCGCCCGCUUUCAUGUCGACGGUGACGAGCUCGAACUCGAGGUCCUUCUCGUAGAGGGCAGCGAAGACCCGCAUCGCCGCGGUGGACAUGAGGUUUCCAUAAACUUUCAUCACCAUGGUCGCUGUGCUCUACUUUCUUUUUCGUUUCUCUCCAAGAACCGAACGCAAGACAAUCGUGGCGAAUGAAAGUGGGUUUCGGGCUCUUUUUAUAAGGGCUCGACGAACCGGUUUAACUUCUCCUUUUUUUCCAAGCGGAAAUUCGGUCUUCCUUUUUCCGUCAACGAGAUAAUUUCGUCGCAGUUUCUCGGUAAAGAGACGGACAUGAGAGAAGAUGAGAAAGUGGGGCCAAGGACAAAUGACCCGUGUGGCUGAGCGGGUUGGAUAGAGAGAGAGAGAGAGAGAGAGAGAGAGAGAGAGAGGACGCAAGCGAUGACUCCUCAGUAGCCAUAUGUAUGUCCAUCUUCGCACUCCUUUGUCUGUUGUCUGAAGGCUUCUCGGAAAAUGUAGUCAGUGGGAAGGAGACGACACGUACGCACGGCACGUCACAAAGGGACAAGUCGCUCGUGCGAAACGUGCCUCCACUCUGGAGGAGAAUCUUUUAAAGGGCGACAGUGCGAUCCUCUCUUUUGAAAGACUUUUGAGGGAACGUGAAUUGUGUUUCGGAAAUGAGAGAGAACAGAGUGACGUUUCGUGUAGGUCGAAAAUAAAGAGAACUCGCAUAAGGCCUAAAAAGAGUGAUAAUUAUUUAUUAUUUUCUUCUUCUUCUUCUUUUCUGCAAUUUUCUUCCCUCUCCCAUUGACCAUAAUUGCAAACAUAAGGAAAGAGCUAAAAACUUAUCAUUUUUUUUUAUCGAAUUUUUUUUUUAUUGAAAUUAUGAACAUGGUCUAAAGAGUCCCAAGCAAGGCGAAUCUAAACAGAGGAGGGCAGAAAGGCCUUGAGGAGGAAAAGAAAGCCAAUUUUAUGAAAGAGAGCCAUUCCGCGAUAUCUUCGCAACGUAAUGGGCUACUGCAUUAGAAGCCCGCAGACAAUGGGCAAUGCGAAUGGAUGGGUGGGCCUUGAAUAGUUUUAAUCAGUUCAUGAUAAGAAGUUGCUCCUCGUAGUUAAAAUUAUCCAUAAACCCGUUUAUCAGAGCUUCCACAAGAUCAACAUGGUUGAGCUCAACUGCAUAGUUUACAGAACUGUCUUCACUUGAAGCUACAAGCCAGAUUACUUCAAGGACGGCUAGGGUUUCCGCUUGAGAAGUAGAGGAAAUCUUUACCAAUUUGGCAAAACCUGUAAUAAUAGCACCAAUAUGAUCUCUGCCGAUACCAGCUAUGGCGCCACCCACCGAUCCAUUGACAAAGGAGCCAUGGACGUUGAAUUUUAGGAUUUUCUCCUCCGACGAAACCCAACUCUGCGACUUACAAAGGUGGGAUCUUUUCUUGUAUUUGAUGCAUGAAAGUUCCAUUUUAAGUAAUCCUAUUGCAAGAAAUAUGCCGAUUCCACUGUUUGUUGUGUGCUUGGAAAUUUUCCCCGAAAUACAUAGUCAUUUUGGGAUUUUCAAAUACUUCAAAGAGUUAUAAUCACUAUGGGUAAUUUUGAAUUCGAUUUACAAUGCACUUAUUACAAGUAAAACGAGAAUGACCGUGAAUUGAAAAUUGUAUGAUAUUUUUUUAUUGUUUUUUAACAAGUUUAUAAGAGCACUUUUAAGCAAAGUGCAAAUUGGAUAGGAGAAUUUUCAUUUGGCCCCACCAUUUUAGUCAUUUACUUGCAGCUAUGCAGAGAAAGUGACCAUAAAAUAUAAAAUAGUCAUGAGACUUAAGUUGAAAGGACAGAUAGUAACUUCAACCUCAAUUAUUUUCCAGCCCGAGAGUUACUUUGUAGAUUCACUGCUCCACGUCGCGAGAUCAGCCUUUUGGAUGAGGAAUAAGCGGUGUGCAAAAGUCAAGAAUUCAUUGCGCAAUUAUCACGCGUCUACCCUACCGGAGCGGCCAUGGCUGGGAGCUGCAAGAAGCUUGCUGUGGGCCUUGUGGCCAUGAUGGUGAGCUCGACGAAGCUCGAGUGGCCAGCUCAAAGGAGGGUAGCGGGGUGGUGGAAUAUAUACAUCACGAUGCCUAAGGACACGAUCUAAUAGAUCGUUGUAUCGAGUAGUUGGAUCUAAUCCUCUAAGCUAUAGGCCCCGCCCCGUCUCCAUUGGAUCUGUUCCCGGGAGUAUCCUAAAAAAAAAGGAACCUUAUAUAUAUAUAUAUAUAUAUAUAAUUCUUAUUAAAUCAUCAUUUUUCCUUUUAUCCUCUUUUUCUUUCUUUUAAUUUUUUAUCAUAAAAUUUUUAUUUUUUUUCCAAAUGUGGUGCUUGGUAGAGUCUAAGUAGAAUCGACACCGACACACCACACGCGACAUAAUACAACACAACAUGUUAUAUAUUUUCAUGAUUAUUUCAAUCAAAUUAAUUUGAUUCGAUUGACAAAUAAAUAAAUAAUAAUAAAAGAGUUUAUAAUGAAUUUACACUGAAAAUAAUGAAUCGCAGAAAGUGAAGUUUGAAAAAAAGAAGAAGAGAAAACUAGGUUUUCCCCCUUUAUUAUUUUUAUUAUUUUUAAAUUUUUUGCAUAUUAACAUUUUAAUCUCUCAUUUAUUAAAAAAUUUAAAAUUGAUCUGUGCAUGUCAGAAUCAUGUGUCCAAAUUCUAGACAUAAGCAUAUCGGGAAAGUUGAUAACAUGUUGGACUAACCACAUGUUGGAUUUUCUAAUAGAAUAUCGGAUACGUGUUGGAAUGUUCCUAAGAAUGUCGAUGCUUCCUAGAGUAGAGUUAGGCUUUUUAAUUGGUCAAAUCAAACAAAUUAAUAAAAAAGUUCAUUAUACAAAUUUAAAAAUAUUAGGGGUCAAUUACACGACAAAUUUUAAAAUUUCCGAUGUACAUAUCCCUUAGUGUAAAGGCAAUACUCAUCCAUGAAUAAAGUGCAGCGAACUGGGCGAAGCUUUAGGGAAACCUUAGGCCAUCCCAUGGAGAUAAUGAGAGGAGGGGUUUUCGUCAGUAGAGAAAAUACCAGCACUUGCAGAAAUCAUUAUCCUCUAAUGAAACUACAAACACGAGACAUAUAAAACAAUGACUCAUAAAACAUAACCCUGCAUCUGUCCAAUCUUUUUAUUGCUCAUAAUAGAAAAUCACAGAACUGGAAGUGCAUUUAUGUGAAACACCAGCCUGAUCAUCAUCUCCAACUUUGAUGAUUGAAGACGACCCUUCAGAGAAAAUCCCACAUAAAUCCUUGACCAAAGAAGGACAGGAUCAACAACAAAAUACGAUUACCAACUCAUAUAGAAAGGGGUAGAAAAGGUCUAAUGUUAUUGUCCCCCAGCACCAGAUGAUUUAAGCUAGAUCCAUUGCUUCACUGCUGGUUCCUCAUGGCAAGAACCUUGGCCAAAGCCGGCCAGGCCAUGAUGUCGGCCACCCAAGCGCUCACCUUGGGGCGGGCGUCGAACAGCUUCUUCACAGGUGUCCCCAUCAGGCUGGUCAGGGCCGGGAGGUGGUGGAGGUCGGCCAGGGUGAAGCAGUCGCAGCCUAGGUACUUGGACUGGCUCAGGCGGACCUCGUAGAUGUCGAGGACCUUGGCGAGCUUGGCCUCGUUCUCCUCGACUACUGCAGCAUCCGUGGCCAUGCCAAUUUUCGACUUGUACACGAGCUCCCGAUGCAGCUUCGACGCCGCCGGGUCAAACUGGUGGGCCUCGACUUCCAUCCACACGCUCACGGUUGCCAUGGGUUCGCCCUCGCAAACGAGGGGAGUGCCCUUGUCCUCGUAUACGUGAGCAAUGUAUUGAGUAAUUGCCCUCGAUUCUGCCACCACAAAGAGCAUAAUCAAGACAAACUAUAUUUCGCCUAGUUGUUUAUUGUUCUGUUGACUGAGUGAACAGUCAAAGAUUGACUAAACACUUGAUCUUUCAUCAUGAUUGCACGAUCUAUCGGCAAUCGAAUCAGCGCCCUUUGACUAAAUACUUUAAUCUUUAAUGAUGGUCACACAAUAUAAUACAUCAGUAAUAGAAAGACUUACCGAAUAGCUUCAAAUCUCCGUCCUCGAAGACCGGGACUUGACCGAAAGGCUGCACAGAGAGAUCGAGAAACGUUAGAUCCAAGAGACGACGGAGGAUUUCUUGAAAGACCACGUCGAGACCCCAGGACCAGAAAAUAGUUAGGAAUACUGUGGCACGGGCGGUGGGCGGGGACGGACACUUACGUUGAGGGCGAGGAAAUGCUCCUUCUUGUGCUCGCCGGCUCGCAAGUUGACGAAGACGAACUCGAACUCGAGGUCCUUCUCGUGGAGGGCAAUGAGGAGCCGCAUCGUCGGGGCGGAGAAGACGCUUCCGUGGACCUUCGUAGCCAUGUUCCUGUCCGUCGGCGAGAUUCUUAUCUCCCAUUCUUGGAAAGGAGAUACUAUUGUUGUAUUAUUCUUAUUUCCUUUUUCUGCUAAAUUCCACUAGAGGUGAGCAUUGGAUCGACCCUGGAUCGGCCCAACCCUAUUGGUCCUAAUCCGGUUCCUAGGGAGACUGGGUUAGUUUUUAGUCCUAGAAUUUCUAGACCAGUACUGUGCGGGUCAGUUCUCGAUCAGUCCAACCCGGAUCAACCCUGACUCUCUAUAUAUAUAUAUAAUAUUAUUUAUAAUUUUUUUAUAUAGAGAAAACCCUAAAAUAAAUAGUGUCAACAGCAUUAAAUGGCUAUUUAGUAAUGAGUUCAAGUAAUUUUACAUUAUUCUUUAAUAACUUGAAAAUCAUAAUUUAUGAAGGAGGAAAAUGUUUUUGUGAGAAGUCCUCACGGUGUCCAAAAAAGUAUAAACAGCUCCUUAUGGCAUCCCCUAUAGUAUUUGUUCUCUUCUGUCUUAUUUGUUAUCUUAAUCUUCAAUUUGUCAAAAUCGAAAUAAACAACUUCUCCACUCGCCACUCGACACUCACCUUGCUCGCUUUAGGUCAUUCGUGCCACUCGCCGCUUGAUUCUCACUUGGCUUGCUACUCCCCGCUCAACAUUCGAUGCUCAUUCUUUCGACGCUCACCCCACUUAACCCUUAAUGCUUGCCUUUCUUAACUGACCUUACUUAUCAUCGAACUCAUUGGGUUAGUACGGUCAUUGGUUGCCAUUUCAAAGAGUACAAAAAAUAAAAUAAAAAUUAUUAGUUGGUUCUAGGUUGACCUGGAAACCGGACUAAACCCAUUGAGUCAAUCCGGUCUUUAAUGGCUUUUUUAAGAAGUACAAAAAAUGAAAUAAAAAAUUAUCGGUUGGUCUCGGGUUGACCCUGGAAUCAGACCAAACCCAUUGGGUCGGUCCGGUCCUCGGUUCCAAGCUCAAUUAGGUCGGUCAUCGGUCCUAAAAAUUGAGGACUAGCACUGUGCAGGUUGGUCCUAGGGUUAGGGGGUGGAUCGGUCCAACCCGAACCAUGCUCACUCCGAAAUUCCACACCAUCUAUCAUGGCACUACUUUUUUCGUGGUCUGAAAGCUUCUCAGAAAAUGAAAUACAUCGGUGGCAGUUGGGAUUGGACCGCCUAAACUUGAAACUGUGUGGAUUCUACCAGCCGAUUUGGUCCAAUACUAAAGCAAUGAGAAAAAAAAAACAAUCAGUUCCAUUAGACCGGAUCAGAAUUGAACCGAAUCGGUGAUGUGGUCCGAUUUCCGAUUCUAAGACCAAUCGAUCCAAUCCUUAGUUCUUAUUUUUGGGAACAUGACUGUCUCUUGGUCCGAUUUCCAAUUUCACCUUGGAACUGGAUCGGAUUGAGAACCGAUCACCCUUACUUGAAAGGAGACAACAAAUCCCUAUGCAACAGGUAGGCAUAGCAAUAAGUUACUCAUGCGAAACGUGCCUCUACUCAGAAGGAUAAUUUUUUGAAAAGCAAAAAGGCAAUUCUCUCUUUAGAAAGACUUUGAGAAAACAUUAAUUAUGUUUCAAAAAUGAGAAAGAAUGGAAAGAUUUUUCGGGUGGGUCGAAAAUAUAGAAAACUUCUAAUUUUACUUAAGGCAUAAAAAGAGUGUAAAAUUUUUUCCCCUUUUUUUGGAAUUUUCUUCUCUCUUCCAUUGACCAUGAUUGCAAACAUAAGGAAAGGGCUAAAAGUUGAAUUUGAUUUCUUUUUUGUCGAAGAAAAUUUUAUUGAAAUUACGAACAUGGUCUAAAGAGCUCGGAGCAAGGCCAAUCUAAACAAAGGAGGGCCCAAAGGCUUUAAGGAGGAAAAGAAAGCCGGUUUUGUGGAAGUGAGCCAAUCCGUCAUGUCUUCGCAGCUCAGUCGGUUACCGCAUUAGAAGCCCGCGAACAAUGGACUAUGCAAAUGGAUGGAUGGGCCUUGAGUAGCUGUAAAAAAUUCACGAUAAGAAGUCGCUCCUCCCGGUUGAAAUUAUCUGUAAACCCGCUUAUCAAAGCUUCCACGAGAUCGGCAUGGUUGAGCUCAAUUGCAUGGUUUGCGGGACCAUCUUCACUCAAAACUACAAGCUGGAUUGCUUCAAGGACGGCUAGGGCUUCCACCUAAGAAGGUGAUGAUAUCUUCACCAAUUUGGGGAAAGCCGUAAUAAUAAUACAAGCACGAUCUCUGUAGAUACCAGCUAUGACGCCAUCCACCAAUCCAUUGACAAGGGAGCCAUCAACAUUGGAUUUUAGGAUUUUCUCCUCCAAUGAGAGCCUAGGUAUACAACUUAUAAAGGUGGGAUCUUUUAUUGUAUUUGAUGUAUGAAAGAUCCAUUUUAAGUAAUUUGGUCGCUAGAAAUAUGUUGAUUGCAUGGCAUGUCGUGCAUUCGGAAAUUUGCCCUGAAAUACAUUAUAAAAAGAAGACAUUAAUGAACUUCUAUGAAAUGGCUUCAUGGGAUUCAGGCAAUUGUCUUGAUCAUGGGAUAUCAUUGAGACAUAGGAAUCCGUAUUAUUAAAAGAUUUCCUACAAUUAUUUCUAGUAUGGAAUGAAUCAAUCAUCCACUUUGGUAUCUUAGGGUCCGUUUGUUUCGCGGAAAACAAUUUCCGGGAAAAUAUUUUCCAAAAUUACCGAUGUACCGAUGGCGGAAAAUAGGUAGUCAAAGAAAAUGUACCGAUGGAGAUCCUAAUAUUGUGAAAAAUGAUUUCUUCUUUUGAAAAGAGGAAAACAUUUUCCAUAACUUCUUCCACCUUGUUUCUUUUCACCAACACAUUUAUGCUUUCUUUUUCUUUCUUGUUUUUUUUAAUCGAGUUUUUAAUUUUUUUUCCUUUUCUUUUUUUCUUUUCUUCCUUGGUGGCCGUUUCAUCUUCUUCCUUGGUGGUCGGUUGCCAGCCACGGCGGCGGCCGGCAAUCGGCUGCAAGCCAGCUUGAGCCUUGCCCCAGGCUAGCAAGGCUUCGCCUAGCCCAAUCUGGCGAAGGGAGCUCGCCCAAUCCUUGCGAGCUUGGGCCUCGCCAAAUCGGGCGAGGCAGAGCCUUGCCGACUUAGGGUAGAGCUCGAACCUCGCCAGAUCCAGCGAGCUAGGUGAGGCUCGGGCCUCGCCCGAGCUCGCCAGAGGUUUGCCAGGCUCUAGUGAGCCGUGAGCUUGCCGAAUCUGGCAACGAAGCUUGGGCUCAUGAUCCAUAGGAACCCGAGCUCCACUGCCAGAUCGACAAGCUCGAGCGAGAUUGGCCGAGCCUCAAGUUCGUCGGAUCUGGCGACUAGGUGUUGGUCGGCCGCCAGGUAGCCGACCAUCAUCAGGCAUGCGGCAGUGGAGGAAGGUGGAGCCGGGAGGAAGAAAGAGGAGGAAGAAGGAAGGAAAAAAGAAAAAGAAAGAAAUAAUAAAAAUUUCGAUUUUUUAAAAAUAGAAAUAAUUAAAAUUUUAUUUUAAAAAAAUAUAAAAAAAUAAAACUAAUUUUUUAGUCAAUUAAAAAUAUUAAAAUUCAAUUUUUGAUAAUCUUUCCCAAACAAUUAAAUUAGCUAACGAAUGGUGGAAAAUAUUUUCCACUUGAAGUUUUGGUUUCGGCCAAACACCGGAAAAUAGUCAUUUUCCUGGAAAAUGACUUUUAGGAAAAUGUUUUCCGGAAACAUAUUUUCCAUGAAACGAACGGACUCUUAUUGAACAAAAAUGGUGAUAUUGUUCCUUGAUUGAUCAAUAAUUACGAUUUUUGGGAAGUAUCAUGAUCAUAAAAAAAUAAUGGCUUCCAUUUUUACAAAUGAACAAUUUGAAGACCUAUUGAUUCUAACAACUAAUUGCAGAGUUGAUCAUUCGGAUCUUUCAAUUCAUAGACAUGGAUCUCGAACCUAUGAAUGGGGGUAUUCACGAAACUCACAAAGAAAAAAAGGAAGUGAGUUAGACAAAAAAAAAAGAAGAGGAAACUUGGACAAAAUGAAACGAAGUGACUUAGACAAAUCUUUUUUGUUGAGAACCUUAGACCAAUCAAUCAAAUAUUGAUUAAUACUUAAUUGAUCAAAGACUACUUGAAAACGGCUCUUUAGCUUAGAAACAAAAUGUUCCAAAUGUUCUUGGAAAUUCUUGCUCCCAUUGGACCAUUUGUAUUUAUAUGUAUUAGGAUAUCGAUUCACAGAUCUCUCAGUUCAAGAAAUAAAAAUAAGAGGAUUGAACAAUUUCUUCUAACUAUUUUUCAAAUUCGAUAAAUGUAGGUUGAUCUUAUAUUUCAUUAUCGUUUUAUGAUUCAAAGUAUCAUUUCAUAUUUGAUCCCUUUGAAUUCCAUAUCCAAAAUUGCAAUCGGAUUCAUUCAUUAAAAAGAAUCAGUUCCAUACAUUUCUUAUGUACCCAUAGGUGCUAUAUUGGAUUUGAAUUAGAUUUCGGAUCCAUCUAUAUUGAUUAACUGUCUCAUUAUGUUGUUACUAGUAAAUACCAUUAUUUUUUGUUUUGGAUCUUUCAAAUCAUUUUCGCAUGAGAUCCGAACCCAUUUUUUCUAAUCUUUCAAUAAAAAGAUUCAUUUUCUUCAAAAAAGAGAGGAGGUAGAACCAAUAAAGAUUUCUUUUUCAAUUCAUCCCUGGAUUUGAAUACCUCAUUAAAGAAUUAUUUUUGAUCUAAUACGUAAGAAUCCAUAGAUAAGGCAAAUCCUUUAAGAUACAUCAAAUCUAGCUCACUUAUUGAUAGAGUAAAUAGAUCUGCCAUUAUUUGAAAUCUCUCUUCUGAUUCAAAAUCGUGGUGUAAUGUGUAUCAACCUUGUUUCGGUCAUGAAAUAGACGAAAUAAAUCAAAAAAAUGUAUUUUUGUUUAAGAAUGAAAUCUUAUGGAAACUGUGCAUAUCCAGUUCAUCCUUUAGAAUCAUAUCACAUCCCGGAUCUGAUGAAAUAUGAUGAAUUGAGACAAUACUUUGUAAAUACAUAAUUAUCUUAUAUAUAUUAACUAUAUCUUUAUUUUAUGAUCGUUUGGAAAGGACAAAAGAAACAUCUUGUUCUUUCUUCAACAAUUUUUUAUCUCUAGUGGGCCUCUUAGUAGGAUUCCAACCUAGAUGAAGUUUUGACCAUCUGUCAAAGAAAAAAGAAAGAAUGGAUCUUGUAGAAUUCCCAAGAAAUUCUUCGAUUUUUUUCGGAAGCAAAUGAUUCUUCAUCUCUUUCUCACAUUUCGUGAAUAGUUGGGAAUAUCUAGAAAGGCAUUUAGAGAAUCGGUCUGAUUCUAACUCUGUUCGUUUCGUUUGAAGAAAUGAAGGAUCCCAAAGAAUCAAUCUUUCUUUUAGUUGUUGAAUCUCUCUUUGAUUGAUCAAUGUAUGAUAUUCUGAAUCCUUAUUACUAAUGGAAUCGAAAUGAUCUCUGGAUUGAUCAAAAGAUCCUUUUAAUUGGCUAGAAUCCGUUAUUUGAACAAAACUAGAUCUUGUACAAUCAUAUUGAAUAUUUGACGAUACAUUUUGUAACUUGUUAAAAAAUCGGUCCUUGUUUACCAACCACACAUUGUCUAACCAAAUUCAAUUCUCUCUCAAUAUGUUCCUCAAAAAAUCUGAUUCGAGUAUUCUUCCCCUAGCUGACAAAGAGAUCUUGGCGGAAUUGCUACAUAUGAAAUUGAGCACAAUUUUCCAAAAAAAUAGCCCACUUCUUUCUCGAGAAGAGAUGGGAAAUAGGCUUAAUAUCAUUUGAUUGAAUAGUUGACCCAGCUCCUUGUUGUUUGAGGAAACCCUCCACUUCAAUUGGUAUUUUUUUCACGAAAAGCAAACAUGAGAAAACAAAUCUAGUCUUUAACUAAGAUUUCGAAUAGCUAUCACGAAUUCAAAUUAAUUAUGUUUCGUCUCUUACUUGGAGAAAGAUGAUCCAAAAUUCCCAAUCACAGUACUUGCAGAUCGGAUCAUCCAUAUAAUAUACAAAAAGAAACUCCAAAUAUUUAAUAUCUUUUCCUUUGAAUGAUAUCUCAAUUCCAACAAUGGUUUCAUUAGAUAUCUUACAACUAGAAUCAUCUUUUUUCCGCUCCAAUUCCUCCAACACUGCAAACCCAAGUUAAAUCCAGGCAUGAUACAUUUUUUUGUGAUUGGGAGAACUCAAUUACUCUCUUUCGGAUCUAGGAAAAAGCUCUCAGAGAUCUUUUUUUCCUUUUGGAAGAUAAAGGAGCCAAACGAUCAACCUAUUGAUAUUGGAAGAUCCAAAAGAUUCUUCCAAUGUAUCAUUUCUAGGUCUAAUGGAAUUCAUAGGUAUAGGAAAAAGCCCUAUUAAAUAGAGAUUUUUUCUUUCGGCCAUAUUUCAAUUAUUAAUACAGUAUAUAAGGACUACUACUACAAAUAGUACUACACCAUUGAUCGUGAAAUAUCAAGUGCUUGUUGAAUCCUGUGAAUUGCGUGAAAGUAGGAUACUCCAAAUUCGGGGGUCUAGGAGUUUUAUAAAAUGUUCUUGGUGAAAAAAAAUGUGGAUGAAAGAUCCUACGAAAUUGAAUUGGGUGCAUGAAUCUAAGAAAUAGUGAGAAUUAUGGAUCUCUCUCAAUUCGAAAAUCCAGGAUUUGAAUUGACAUCCUUUCAUUGAUUUCUCCUAAAUUGAAUUAAUUUCUCCUAAAGAUUUCAUUUCAAUUGGAAUUUGGUUACUCACCAUGUACGAGGAUCCCUGCUAAGCAUCCAUGGUUGAAUGGUUAAAGCACUCAACUCAUAAUUGGCGAAUUCGUAGGUUAAAUUCCUACUGGAUGCACGCCAAUGGGACACUACAAUAAAUCUAUUGGAAUUGACUCUAUGUCAAUGGAAUCUAAUCAUCCAUACAUAACGAAUUGAUGUGGUAUGUUAAUAUACCUUUAAUGUCAACUUUAAUGAAGAAUCAAGAUCAAGUAGGACAGAAAUAAAGCAUUGGGUCGAACUCUUCUGAAAUGGUAGAAGAAUAGGACCUAUUCUCAGUAGAAGAAUGGGACCUAUACAGGGACAUAUAAAGCAUUACAGACGUAUGAUCAUUACACUUCAACUGGGUUAUUCUAUUCCACCUCUUAAAAAGAAAAGAACUUAAAUCAAAAUGGUUAAUAUUAAUAGCAUAGCAAUAUAUUUAUACAAAACUUCUACCCCCAAGCACCCCAAGCACACGCAAUGGAGCCGUAAACAAUCAAGUGAAAUUCAAUACACAAAAUAAUUUGAUCUAUGGACAGCAUCAUUGUAAUAAAGGUCGUAAUGCCAGAGGAAUCAUUACCACAUGGCAUAGAGCGGGAUUUUCAGAUAGUCUAAUGAGUUGUAGUCGCCGUGGGUAAUUUUACAUUUGAUUUACAAUGCACUACUUAUAAGUAAAAUGAGAAAAAUGGUGCAUUGAAAACUGCAUAAUUUUCUUUAUAUUUUUUUAACAAGUUUUUUUUUUGUAUAUUUUUUUAACAAGUUCAUAAAAGCACUUUUAAACAAAGUCCAAUUUGGAUAGGAGAAUUUUCAUUUGGCCCCACCAUUUUGAUCAUUUGCUUGCAGCCAUGCAAAGAAAGUGACCAGAUUUGGCCCAUAAAUUAUAAACAAGUUGAUAAAGACUUAAGUGGAAAGGACAAAUAGUAACUUCAACUCAAAUAUUUCCCAGCCUGAGAGUUUCUUAGUAGAUCCACUGUUCCAUGUCGUGAGAUCAGCCUUUUGGAUGAGGAAUGAGUAGUGUGCAAAAAUCAAGAAUUCAUUGUGCAAUUGGCACGCGCCUACCCUACCAGAGCAGCCAUGGCCUGGAUCCGGAAGAAACUUGUGGUGGCCAUGAUGGUGAGCUCGACGGAGCUCAAGUGGCCAGCUCAAAGCAGGGACAGUGGGAGGGUGUCUUCUGGUUUCUUAUCAUUUUUAUCGUAUCCUUUUUUUCUUUCUCUAAACUUUUUAUUUUUUUCUUUCUCUAAACUUUUUAUUAUAAAAUCUUUUAAUUCUUUUCCAGACGGGGCGUUAGGUAGAGUCAGCUUUUUUUUUUUUUUUUAGGUAGAGUCAGCUUUUAGUCGGUCAAAUCAUUGAAUUAAUAAAAAUGUUCAUUAUACAAAUUUGAAUAGGAUUCAGUCGUACUAUUCAAAAGUUUUAGGUCAAUUACAUUUGCUUGAUGAAUUUUAGAAUUACUGAUGUAGGUAUCCAUGUGUAAAGGUAAUACUCAUCCAUGGAUAUAGUCCAGUGAACUUCUAUGGUACUUUAACAGAUGAAAGCGGGUGAAGCUUUCGUGACUAGUAGGGAAACUGUAGGCCAUCCUAUGGAGAUGAUGAGAGGAGAGCUUUGUAAUCAGUAAAGAUAAUACCAGCACUUGCAGCAAUCAUUACACUCUAAUGAAACUAGAAAGAUGAGACAUACAAGCCAAUGACUCAUGAAACAUAACUCUGCAUCUGUCCAAUCUUUUUAUUGCUCAUAAUAGAAAAUCACAGAACCGGAAGUUCAGUUCUGUGAAACACCAGCCUGGUCAUCAUCUCCAACUUUGAUGAUUGAAGACAACCCAUAAGAGAAAAUCCCACAUAAAACAUUGACCCAACAAGGACAGAAUCAACAACGAAAUACAGCUAACAACUCAUAUAAAAAGGGGUAGGAAAGGUCUAAUGUUACGGUCCCCCAGCACCAGAUAAUUUAAACUAGACCCCUUUGCAUCACUGCUGGUUCCUCAUGGCAAGAACCUUGGCCAAAGCCGGCCGGGCCAUGAUGUCGGCCACCCAAGCGCUCACCUUGGGGCGGGCGUCGAACAGCUUCUUCACAGGUGAAGCCAUCAGGUUGGUCAGGGCCGGGAGGUGGUGGAGGUCGGCCAGGGUGAAGCAGUCGCAGCCCAAGUACUUGGACUGGCUCAACCGGGCCUCGUAGAUGUCGAGGACCUUGGCGAGCUUGGCCUCGUUCUCCUCGACUACUGCGGCGUCCGUGGCCAUGCCGAACAUCGGCUUAAACAGGAGCUCCCACUGCAGCUUCGACCCCACCGGGUCAAACUGGUGGGCCUCGACCUCCAUCCACACGCCCAAGGUCGCCAUGGGUUUGCCCUCGCACACGAGGGGAGUGCCCUUGUCCUUGUAUACAUUAGCUAUGUAUUGAGUAAUUGCCCUUGAUUCUGCCACCACAAAGAACAAAAUCAAGAUGUAAACCAUGCUUCGCGUAGUUGUUUCUUGUUCAGUUGACGAAUUGAACAGUCAAAGAUUGACUAAACACUUGAUCCUUCAUCAUGGUCGCAUGAUCUAUCAGCAAUCGAAUCAGCACCCUUUGACUAAAUACUUUCAUCUUUCAUGAUGGUCACACAGUAUAAUACACCACGAACAGAAAGACUUACCGAAUAGCUUCAAAUCUCCGUCCUCAAAGGCCGGGACUUGACCGAAAGGCUGCACAGAGAGAUCCAGAAACGUUAGAUCUGAGCGAGACGAAAGAGGGUUUCUUGAAAGAGCACAUUCAGACCCCCCAAGACCGAAAAUCUGCGAGUAUAAAGGUCGAACUGGUGGUGGGCAGGUAAGGAGACUUACGUUGAGGGCGAGGAAGUGCUCCUUCUUGUGCUCGCCGGCCCGCAUGUCGACGGGGACGAACUCGAACUCGAGGCCCUUCUCGUUGAGGGCAAUGAGUACCCGCAUAGCCGCGGUGGAUAAGACGCUUCCGUGGACCUUCAUCACCAUGGUGGCUGGCUCUGCUUUCUUUUCUUUAUCUCUCUCUCUCGAAGGCUAAAUGCAGAACAGAUGUGGCGAAAGAGGGUGGGUUUUGGGCUCUUUUUAUAAGGGUUUCAGGAUCUCGUUCUGGAAUGAUCCAAUUGACUUUUAAAAUUCGAUUUUUCUUUCCCAUUCAACGAGAUAAUUUUGCUUUUUUUAUCUUUGUUGUUUAUACUUAGGAGAUGGAGAUGCAAAAAUGGCUCCUUGUCGGAUGAAGAGAGAGAGAGAGAGAGAGACGGACGCGACGAUUCCUGAGAAGCCAUUUUGAUAUUCAUCUCGCACUUUCUUCUCUUCAUUCGAUGUCUGAACAGAUCAAAAGAAAGGCGCAGACACCUACGUGCGCACGUCAUGCGGCGAGUAGCUCGUGCCAAAAGCGCCUAUCUACCGACCCAAAAAAAAGAAGCGCCUAUCUACCGACAAAAAAGAAAAAAAAAGCGCCUAUCUUGGGAAGGAAGAUACAUUUAGGGGAUAUUUGGUAGCUAUCUAAAUAGUAUCUGAUUCUGAUUUUUUCUUUCUGAAAGUAAUUUUGAAAUGGAAUCUCGUUUGGUAAAAUUUUUGUUCCAGAAAUAAAUUUAUAUUUUUCUUGUUCUCGAAAAUAGAUUUGAAAUAGAAUCAAGAAUAAAAAAAAAAAUUGACUCUUAUUCUAUAAACAAAUCUAAAAAUCAAAAUCAACUUUUCUUCUUCUUCUUUUUUCUUCUUCUUCAUCAACCGACAUCCCGCAAAUACUAUCCGCCGCCGUCCACCAUCGUUCGCUACCGGUCGCCGACAACCGGUCCGGCGAGCACCGAAGGCUCGCCAGGCCAAGACGAGGUCCAGCGAGCUCGCUGAGGCUUAGGCUUGGCCUUACCAGAUUUAGCGAGGUCGAGCCUUGCCCAACUACCGGCGAUGCUCGGCCAACGAGGGCCAACAAAACUUCAAUGAGGUCGCCAGCCACAAGAAGAAGAAGAAGAAGAAGAAGAAGAAGAGAAAAAAUGGGAAAAAAAGUAAAAAUGAAAAAAAAUAAUUGAUUUGGAACAGAAUCAAUAAGCAUGAUACCAAACGCAAUUCUAUUCCAAAAUCAGAAAUUUUAAAUAAUUAUUAAAUGGCUUAAAAUGUUUAGAAAUUGUUCCUAAGAAUAGAAUAAAAAAUAAUCAUUUCUGAUUAGAAUUUGUUCUCGAGAAUAAAAUCAUUACCAAACACACUCCUAAAGGGCGAGGAUGUAACUCCACUCUUCAGAAAAGACUUUGAGAAAACGUGAAUCAUGUUUCAAAAAAUGGAUUACUACAAAUGUAUCAUGCAGUCCCUAAAAUUUAAUUUUGUACAACGUGAUCCGUGAGUUUUUAUUAUAUAAUAUCAUUUCUAAAUUUUUAAUUUAUUUUAUAUAAUCUUUACAUUAUUGAUAAAUAUUUAGUAUAAUCUUUAAAUUAUAUGAAUUUGUUUAAAAAUUUAUUAUCUAAAUUCUAGAUUCGAACAUAUUGAGAAAGUUUGACCAUACGUUGGAUUUUUUAAUAGAAUAUUAGACACGUGUUGGAGUAUCUAAUAUGACUCAAAAACUCUGGAGAAUGUCGACGUUUCCCAUAGCAGAGUUAGCUUUUUUGAUUGGUCAAAUCAAACAAAUUAAUAAAAAAUUUUAUUAUACAUUUUAAAAUAUUAGGGGUCAAUUACACGACAAAAUUUAAAAUUUCCGAUGCAUAUAUCCCUUAGUGUAAAGGCAGUACUCAUCCAUGAAUAAAGUGCAGUGAACUAGGCGAAGCUUUAGGGAAGCCUUAGGCCAUCCCAUGGAGAUGAUGAGAGGAGGGGUUUUCAUCAGUAGAGAUAAUACCAGCACUUGCAGAAAUCAUUACAUUCUAAUGAAACUACAAAGAUGAGGCAUAUAAAACAAUGACCCAUGAAACAUAAUUUUGCAUCUGUCCAAUCUUUUUAUUGCUCAUAAUAGAAAAUCACAGAACUUGCAGUUCGGCGAAACGCCAGCCUGGUCAUCAUCUCCGACUUUGAUGAUUGAAGACGACCCUUCAGAGAAAAUCCCACAUAAAACAUUGACCAAAGGAGGAUAGAAUCGACAGCAAAAUACGAUUACCAACUCAUAUAGAAAGGGGUAGAAAAGGUCUAAUGUUAUCGUCCCCUAGCACCAGAUGAUUUAAGCUAGACCCAUUGCUUCACUGCUGGUUUCUCAUGGUAAGAACCUUGGCCAAAGCCGGCGGGGUCACGAUGUCAGCCACCCAAGCACUCACCUUCGGGCGGGCGUCCAAUAGCUUCUUCACAAGUGUCCCCAUCAGGCUGGUCAAGGCCGAGAGGUGGUGGAGGUCAGCCAGGGUGAAGCAGUCGCAGCUUAAAUACUUGGACUGGCUCAGCCGAGCCUCGUAGAUGUCGAGGACCUUGGCAAGGUUGGCCUCCUUAUCCUAGAUGGGCUAAGUCAAACGGGUUUUUCAUUUGAUGGGUCAAGUUAAGUCUGUUCGCCCACUCAGCCCAUAAAAGGAAAAUACAGUUAUUUUCUAAGUGAAAAUAACUGUAAUAUAUAAAAUAAAAAUUAAAUGUUCAGAGAGAAAACACGUUUCUCCAUUUUCUUCUCUUUGAAACAGUUCACUCUCUCUUGAAGAAGGAGAAUUCUGAGAUUGCAACAAUGUUUUUUUGAACAUGUUUCUGCGUUCGUUUUUUAUAUUCGAUCGUUUGAGUAUCAGUUCGAUUUUCAGAAAUCUAUUUGCCGCAUCCUUGACUACUGCAGCAUCCGUGGCCAUACCAAUUUUCGACUUGUACACGAGCUCCCAAUGCAGCUUCGACGCUGCCGGGUCAAACUGGUGGGCCUCGACUUCCAUCCACGAGAAAAUAUUGGCUUUGCCCUCGCAAACGAGGGAGCGCCCUUGUCCUCGUAUACGUGAGCAAUGUAUUGAGUAAUUGCCCUCGAUUCUGCCACCACGAAGAGCAUAAUCAAGACAUAAACUAUAUUUCGCGUAGUUGUUUCUUGUUCUGUUGACUGAGUGAACAGUCAAAGAUUGACUAAACACUUGAUCUUUCAUCAUGAUUGCACGAUCUAUCGGCAAUCGAAUCAGCGCCCUUUGACUAAAUACUUUCAUCUUUCAUGAUGGUCACACAAUAUAACACAUCAGUAAUAGAAAGACUUACCCAAUAGCUUCAAAUCUCCGUCCUCAAAGGCCGGGACUUGACCGAAAGGCUGCACAGAGAGAUCGAGAAACGUUAGAUCCAAGAGACGAAGGAGGUUUUCUUGAAAGACCACGUCGAGACCCCACGACCAGAAAAUAGUUAGGAAUACUGUGGCACGGGCGGUGGGCGGUGAUGGAGACUUAAGUUGAGGGCGAGGAAAUGCUCCUUCUUGUGCUCGCCGGCUCGCAAGUCGACGAAGACGAACUCGAACUCGAGGUCCUUCUCGUGGAGGGCAAUGAGGACCCGCAUCGUCGGGGCGGAGAAGACGCUUCCGUGGACCUUCAUCACCAUGAUUGCUCGCUCUGCUUUCUUUUCUUUAUCUCUCUCUCAGAACCUGAACGCAGAACAGCUGUGGCGAUCAAUGGUGGGUCUCGGGCUCUUUUUAUAAGGGCUUCAGGAUCUUGUUCUGGAAUGAUGUAAUUGACUUGAACAUUUCGAUUCUGGUAUGCCCUUCAACGAGAUAAUCUUGCCUUGUAUCUUUUAUUGUUUACAGUUAGCAGGUGGAGAUGACAGUAAUGGCUCCUUGUCGGGAUGUGGGGAGAGGGAGAGAGAGACGCAGGCGAUAAGUCCUCCGUAGCCAUGUUCCUGUCCGUCGGCGAGGUUCUUAUCUCCCAUUCUUGGAAAGGAGAUACUAUUGCUGUACCAUUAUUAUUUCCUAUUUCUGCUAAAUUCAACACCAUCUAUCACGGCCCUACUUUUUUCGUCGUCUGAAAGUUUCUCAGAAAAUGAAAUCCAUCGGUGGCAGUUGGGAUUGGACAGCCUGAACCUGAAACUGCGUGGACUCUACCGGCGGAUUUGGUCCAAUUUAUGAGAAUAUCAAUGUGGUUCCGAUUUUGAGGCAGAAUUGAAUUAGACCGACUAAUUAUUUUUUUAUUUAUUCAAAAAAUUAGUGAAAUAUGAACUAAAUACUAAAGCAAUGAGAAAAAAAAAAAACUAUCGAUUCCAUUAGAUCAUACCAGAAUUGGAUCGAAUCGAUGAUGUGGUCCGAUUUCCAAUUGUAGGACUAAUCGAUCCAAUCCUCAGUUCUAAUUUUUGGGAACAUGACCAUCUCCUAGUCAGAUUUCCGAUUUCACCUUGGAAUUGAAUCGGAUCAGAAACUAAUCACCCUUACUCAAAAGGAGACAACAAAUCUCUGUGUAGUAGGUAGCACAUCAAUAAGUCACUUGUGUGAAACGUGCCUCUACUCAGAAGGAGAAUUUUUUGAAAAUCAAAAAGGCAAUCCUCUCUUUAGAAAGACUUUGAGAAAACAUUAAUUAUGUUUAAGAAAUGAGAGAAAAUGGAAUGAAUUUUCAGGUGGGUUGAAAAUAAAGAAAACUUCUAAUUUUACUUAAGGCAUAAAAAGAGUGGAAAGUGUUUCUUGUUUUCCUUUUCUUUUUCUUUUUUUUGUAAUUUUCUUCUCUCUUCCAUUGACCAUGAUUGCAAACAUAAGGAAAGGACUAAAAGUUGAAUUUGUUCUUCUUUUUUUUAUCGAAGAAAAUUUUAUUGAAAUUACGAACAUGGUGUAAAGAGCUCCGAGCAAGGCGAAUCUGAACAAAGGAGGGCCCAAAGGGUUUGAGGAGGAAAAGAAAGCCGGUUUUGUGGAAGUGAGCCAAUCCAUCAUGUCGGUUACUGCAUUAGAAGCCCGCGAAAAAUGGGCUAUGCGAAUGGAUGGAUGGGCCUUGAGUAGCUUUAUAAAAUUCAUGAUAAGAAGUCACUCCUCCCGGUUGAAAUUAUUCGUAAACCCGCUUACCAAAGCUUCCACGAGAUCGGCAUGGUUGAGCUCAACUGCAUAGUUUGCGGAACUAUCUUCACUCAAAACUACAAGCUGGAUUGCUUCAAGGACGGCUAGGGCUUCCGCCUAAGAAGGUGAUGAGAUCUUCACCAAUUUGGGGAAACCCGUAAUAAUAAUACGAGCACGAUCUCUGUAGAUACCAGCUACGGUGCCAUCCACCAAUUCAUCGACAAAGGAGCCAUCAACAUUGGAUUUUAGGAUUUUCUACUCCAAUGGAACCCAAGUCUGCAACUUAUAAACGUGGGAUCUUUUCUUGUAUUUGAUGUAUGAAAGAUCCAUUUUAAGUAAUUUGGUCGCUAGAAAUAUGUUGAUUGCAUGGUAUGUCGUGCGUUCAGAAAUUUGCCCCGAAAUACAUUAUAAAAAGAAAAUAUCAAUGAACUUCUAUGAAAUUGUUUCACGGAUUCAGGCAAUUGUCUUGAUCGUGAAAUAUCAUUGAGAAAAAGGAAUUUGUAUUAUUAAAAGAUUUCCUGCAAUUAUUUCUAGUAUGGAAUGAAUCAAUCAUCCACUUUGGUAUCUUAUUGAACAAAAAUGGUGAUAUUGUUCCUUGAUUGAUCAAUAAUUUCGAUUUUUAGAAAGUAUCAUGAUCAUCCAAAAAUAAUGGCUUCCAUUUUUACAAAUAAACGAUUUGAAGACCUAUUGAUUCUAACAACUGAUUGCAGAGUUGAUCAUUCGGACCUUUCAAUUCAUAGACGUGGAUCUCGAACCUAUGAAUGGGGUUAUUCAUGAAACUCACAAAGAAAAAAGGAAGUGAGUUAGACAAAAGAAGAAGAAGAAGAAGAAAUUUGGACAAAAAAGAUUUCGAAUAGCUAUCAUGAAUUCAAAUUAAUUAUGUUUAGUUUCUUACUCGGAGAAAGACGAUCCAAAAUUCCCAAUCACGGUACUUGCAAAUCGGAUCAUCCAUAUAAUAUACAAAAAGAAACUCCAGAUAUUUGAUAUAUUUUCCUUUGAAUGAGAUCUCAAUUCCAACGAUGGUUUCAUUAGAUAUCUUACAACUAGAAUCCUCUUUUUUCCGAUCAAAUUCCUCCAGCACUGCAAACCCAAGUUAAAUCCAGGCAUGAUACACUUUUUCGUUAUUGGGAGAACUUAAGUACUCUCUUUCGGAUCCAAGAAAAAGCUCUCGAAGAUCUUAAGAUCUUUCCUUUUGGAAGAUAAAGGAGCGAAAUGAUCAACUUAUUGAUAUUGGAAGACCCAAGACCCAAACGAUUCUUCCAAUGUAUCAUUUCUAGGUCCAAUGGAAUUCAUAGGUAUAGGAAAAUGCCCUAUCAAAUAGAGAUUUUUUUUCUUUCGGCCAUAUUUCAAUUAUUAAUAUGAUAUAUAAGGACUACUACUACAAAUAGUACUACACCCUUGAUCGUGAAAUAUCAAUUGCUUGUUGAAUCUUGUGAAUUGCGUGAAAGUAGGAUACUCCAAAUUCGGGGGUCCAGGAGUUUUAUAAAAUGUUCUUGGUGGAAAAAAAUGUGGAUGAAAGAUCCCAUGAAAUUGAAUUGGGUCCAUGAAUCUAAGAAAUAGUGAGAAUUAUGGAUCUCUCAAUUCGAAAAUCCAGGAUUUGAAUUGAUGUCCUUUCAUUGAUUUCUCCUAAAUUGCAUUAAUUUCUCCUAAAGAUUUCAUUUCAAUUGGAAUUUGGUUAUUCACCGUGUAUGAGGAUCCCUGCUAAGCAUCCAUGGUUGAAUGGUUAAAGCGCCCAACUCAUAAUUGGCGAAUUCGUAGGUUCAAUUCCUAUUGGAUGCAUGCCAAUGGGACACUACAAUAAAUCUAUUGGAAUUGACUAUAUAUCAAUGGAAUCUGAUCAUCCAUACAUAACAAAUUGAUGUGGUAUAUUCAUAUCAUAACAUAAGAUAUUGGGGAAGAAAAUUGAUUUAUGGAAGAAAAAUUAUUAGGGAAAAAUCAAUAUACCUUUAAUGCCGAAUCAAGAUCAAGUAGGACAUAAAUAAAGCAUUGGGUCGAACUCUUCUGAAAGGAUAGAAGAAUAGGACCUAUUAUCGUUAGAAGAAUGGGACCUAUUCUUGGGCAUACAAAGCAUUACAGACGUAUGAUCAUUACACUUCAACUAGGUUAUUCUAUUCCCAUCUUAAAAAGAAACGAACUUAAAUCAAAAUGGUUAAUAUUAAUAGCAUAGCAAUAUAUUUAUACAAAACUUCUAUCUUGGGAUAGAAGUUUUGUAUAAAUAUAUCGCUAUGGAGCCGUAGACAUACACGAAAUAAUUUGAUCUAUGGACGGCAUCAUUGUAAUAAAGGUUGUAAUGCUAGAGGAAUCAUUACCGCAUGGCAUAGAGCAGGAUUUUCAAAUACUCCAAUGAGUUGUAGUUGCCAUGGGUAAUUUUAAAUUUGAUUUACAAUGCACUACUUAUAAGUAAAAUGAGAAAAACGGUGCAUUGAAAACUGCAUAAUUCUCUUUAUAUUUUUUUAACAAGUUCAUAAAAGCACUUUUAAACAAAGUCCAAUUUGGAUAGGAGAAUUUUCAUUUGGCCCCACCAUUUUGAUCAUUUGCUUGCAGCCAUGCAAAGAAAGUGACCAGAUUUGGCCCAUAAAUUAUAAACAAGUUAAUAAAGACUUAAGUGGAAAGGACAAAUAGUAACUUCAACCUCAAAUAUUUCCCAGCCUGAGAGUUUCUUAGUAGAUCCACUGUUCCAUGUCGUGAGAUCAGCCUUUUGGAUGAGGAAUGAGUAGUGUGCAAAAAUCAAGAAUUCAUUGUGCAAUUGGCACGCGCCCACCCUACCAGAGCAGCCAUGGCCAGGAUCCGGAAGAAACUUGUUGUGGCCAUGAUGGUGAGCUCGACGGAGCUCAAGUGGCCAGCUCAAAGCAGGGACAGUGGGAGGGUGGCUUCUGGUUUCUUAUCAAUUUUAUUAUAUCCUCUUUCUCUUUCUCUAAACUUUUUAUUAUAAAAUCUUUUAAUUCUUUUCCAGACGUGGCGUUAGGUAGAGUCAGCUUUUAGUUGGUCAAAUCAAAUGAAUUAAUAAAAAUGUUCCUUAUACAAAUUUGAAUAGGAUUCAGUUCGUACUAUUUAAAAGUUUUAGGUCAAUUACAUUUGCUUGAUGAAUUUUAGAAUUUCUGAUGUAGGUACCCCUUUGUGUAAAGGUAAUACUCAUCCAUGAAUAUAGUCCAGUGAACUUCUAUGGUACUUUAACAGUUGAAAGCGGGUGAAGCUUUCGUGACUAGUAGGGAAACCGUAGGCCAUCCUAUGGAGAUGAUGAGAGGAGAGGUUUUCAUCAGUAGAGAUAAUACCACUACCAGCACUUGCAGCAAUCAUUACACUCUAACGAAACUAGAAAGAUGAGACAUACAAGCCAAUGACUCAUGAAACAUAACUCUGCAUCUGUCCAAUCUUUUUAUUGCUCAAAAUAGAAAAUCACAGAACCAGAAGUCCAGUUCUGCGAAACACCAGCCUGGUCAUCAUCUCCAACUUUGAUGAUUGAAGACGACCCUUCAGAGAAAAUCCCACAUAAAACAUUGACCCAAGAAGGACAGAAUCAACAACCAAAUACAGCUAACAACUCAUAUAAAAAGGGGUAGAACAGGUCUAAUGUUACGGUCCCCGGCACCCGAUAAUUUAAACUAGACCCCUUUGCAUCACUGCUGGUUCCUCAUGGCAAGAACCUUGGCCAAAGCCGGCCGGGCCAUGAUGUCGGCCACCCAAGCGCUCACCUUGGGGCAGGCGUCGAACAGCUUCUUCACAGGUGAAGCCAUCAGGUUGGUCAGGGCCGGGAGGUGGUGGAGGUCGGCCAGGGUGAAGCAGUCGCAGCCCAAGUACUUGGACUGGCUCAGCCGGGCCUCGUAGAUGUCGAGGACCUUGGCGAGCUUGGCCUCGUUCUCCUCGACUACGGCGGCGUCCGUGGCCAUGCCGAACAUCGGCUUGAACACGAGCUCCCACUGCAGCUUCGACGCCACGGGGUCAAACUGGUGGGCCUCGACCUCCAUCCACACGCCCACGGUCGCCAUGGGUUUGCCCUCGCACACGAGGGGAGUGCCCUUGUCCUCGUAUACAUGAGCAAUGUAUUGAGUAAUUGCCCUGGAUUCUGCCACCACAAAGAACACAAUCAAGAUGUAAACUAUACUUCGCGUAGUUGUUUCUUGUUCAGUUGACGAAUUGAACACUCAAAGGUUGACUAAACACUUGAUCUUUCAUCAUGGUCGCACGAUCUAUCAACAAUCGAAUCAGCACCCUUUGACUAAAUACUUUCAUCUUUCAUGAUGGUCACACAAUAUAAUACACCACUAACAGAAAGACUUACCGAAUAGCUUCAAAUCUCCAUCCUCAAAGGCCGGGACUUGACCGAAAGGCUGCACAGAGAGAUCCAGAAACGUUAGAUCUGAGAGAGACGAAGGAGGGUUUCUUGAAAGAGCACAUUCAACCCGCCAAGACCGAAAAUCUGCGAGUAUAACGGUCGAACUGGUGGAGGGCAGGAACGGAGACUUACGUUGAGGGCGAGGAAGUGCUCCUUCUUGUGCUCGCCGGCCCGCAUGUCGACGGGGACGAACUCGAACUCGAGGCCCUUCUCGUUGAGGGCAAUAAGGACCCGCAUAGCCGCGGUGGAUAAGACGCUUCCGUGGACCUUCAUCACCAUGGUCGCUGGCUCUGCUUUCUUAUCUUUAUCUCCCUAUCUCGAAGCCUAAAUGUAGAACAGAUGCAGAACAGAUGUGCUUUAUUAUCUUUAUCUCCCUAUCUUGUUUUGGAAUGAUCUAAUUGACUUUUAAAAUUCGAUUUUUCUUUCCCAUUCAACGAGAUAAUUUUGCUUUUUUAUCUUUGUUGUUUAUACUUAGGAGAUGGAGAUGCAAAAAUGGCUCCUCCUUUUCUUUUCUCUCGCGUCCUUCCUUUCUUUUCCCUCUGCACCUUGUCAGAAAAAGGACAAAGUCCUUUGUUGACCUGUUGAAAAAAACGAGAGAGAACUCCCUUUUUUUUAAAUCUAACGUCCGCCCCCUCUUUCGUCCGUUUGCGAGCGGCUUUUAUGGGCGAGGUAUUAAGGCUUUCUAGAAUAUUUUAUUUCCUUUUUCACAUCGGAUUCACAUUUCCUUUCUCAACAUGCAUGAAGAUAUAUUGUCGAAAUAUGUACCCCACAUGCAAUAUUUCUUUUUAUUUUCCACAUCUCUUCUAGCCUUGUUUGAUUUCCUUUAUAUGCACUUCAUAUCUUUCCACAUUAAAUUAUGCAAAAAAAAAAGAAUAUUCUCCAUCGAUUUUUAUUAUAUAUUGCCAAAAAUUCAAGAUUAUAAUAGGAUUUUCUCAAAUUCUAAAUCUUGUCAAGAUGAGCUCGUAAUAUCUCCUUCUCACACUUGCCCUUUUUGAGAAUAUAUGAAUAGAUUACAUGAACAUACAAAAAAUCCUCUAUCAUAUCACUAAAAAUAUCGAAUCGUCAAUUCUUAUAAGUUAAUCUUUGGUCAUCAAAAAAUAAUGGGCUUGGGCCAAUUCCAUUUCAACGCAGGCUUAGUCCAACUUGCUAAAUUUAAGCUCAGAACCAUCAAAUUAAAUCCAUUCGUCACCAACCCAAUGCAAAUGUAAUAAAAAAAAAAAGUUCUCUUAAAACUACAUGUUAUGUAAUUUAAUUAUAAUUUUUUUUUGUUUAUGGGUUAAAAAUUAAUCUCUAAUUUUUAAAAGGGAAAACCUCAAAUAAGGAUUGAAAAUGGCUUCGUUUUCUCAAAAAAGAACCUAAAGUGAAGUUUGUCUCAAAUAAGGACCUAAAGUAGUCAUUUAGUCUCAAAAAAUGACCUAACUCGCCGGCCAAUGAACUAAUGCAUUUCUGAUGCGUAUUCCGGUGACCUAAUCAAGGUAUUUUCAUCCAAAAAAUAUUCUCUUUUCAUUUUCCUUUUCCCCUGUUCAUCUUCUCCAUCUGCGAGCAGACCUCCAAUAUCUCGCCAGUGAAGUAAUUGCCGACGAGAUCAAGCCACUUCAGCUUCUUGAGCCUUGCCACCUCCAGCGACAGCGGCCCCGUGAACUUGUCAUUGCCCAAGUGGAGUUCUUCAAGCUAGGUUAUCGCCUGUAAGACUUUGCUGGGGAAGAUCCCAAAGAGGUUGAGGAAUUGGAGGGAGGUGGGGCUGCCGAGCUUUGGCGGGAGGGUCCUGGUGAGGUUGUCGGUGGUGAGCGUGAGGUUGACGAGGUCACAAAGAAGGCCAAUUUUCGGGUGGGAUGUAGCUCGGGAGGCCGACGGAUGUGAUGUUGAGAGAGACGACCCACGAGCCAGCGUCGCAUGUGACUUCGGUGAAGGAGCAAUGCGGAAAGGGCGGUGGCAAGAAGGAGGAGGAGGAGUUGACCCAGUCGCUGAUGGCGGCGGAGGGAGGCUCGACCAUGGCGGUUUUGGGCUUCAAGAGCAUGUCCAGGUCGCUCUGUGCGAGGGAAGCAGAGAUGAAGAGGAGGAAGAAGAAGACUCCAUUGUAGGGCAGUUUCAUCCUCAGUGAGUUCGACGAGGCCAGCAAGGGCUCGCCGACCUCGCCGACCACUGGUAAGGGUAGGCGAGGGCUUGGCCCUCGCCUGCUGCCAACGCCUGCUACCGGCGAUAGGCGUUGAGCCCUCGCUGGCCUCAGGUGAGGCCAACCCACACCGGUCCCACGACCUUCGCUGGCCCUUCCCUACUUCCGAUGUCCUUGAUUUGGGCAAUGCCUAUCUUCGACGAAGAAGACGAUGAAUAGGGACAACCAUGGGUAGAUCAAGAAGAAGAUGAACAGGAUAAGGAAAACAAAAAGAUAAUAUUUUUUGGACAAAAAUACUCCAGACCAGGUCGUUGGAAUACGCAUUGAAAAUGCAUCAAUUCGCCGGCCGACAAGUCAGGUCCUUUUUUGAGACUAACUUAUGUGGCCAAGAGACCAUUAAAACUAUUUUUAUUACUCUUUUAUUUAUAGAAAAAAAUCUCCUUGUUAGUUUUUGUUGGAAAUAUGAUUUGUUUUUUUUAUUCUAAGUAUCUAAAUGCGGUUAAUUGAUUCUAUGAAUCCAUGAGAUUGGAUAUUAGGACAGUAGUAUAGGAAACAACAUAUUUUGUAUAUUCUUUCCUAUCGUACUCUUUUCUUGUAUUAUUAAUAGGUGUGUAAUACAUGUACAAACACAGCAAUACACAAUACAUAAAAUUCCUCCAAUUCAUUCUCAGUUUUUGUCAAUUUUCUUUCUCAUUUUCUAUCAGUUUCAUCUUCUACUUCAUGUGGGACUAAGGUUCCAAGAGACCCACAAGGCACUUCAAGCCUCCAAGAGUCCCACAUUGACUAAACAUUUAAAGAGCAGAGAUUGUCUAUAAAAUCUAAGCUAUGCAUAACUUUUAGCCAAAUUAUUCACGGCUUUCAUGGUUAAAGUUAAGUGUGAAACACACGAAGUGUGAAUCACAUUUGAAUAUUUUGCACGUGGAAACAUGUGUGAUUAGUUUUGUUGAAUUGCUCGAGAACCGAAUUGGAUUGAUCGGUCUGGAGCGCGGUCACUCUUUAGUGCAAAAAAGUAGAGCCGAUUUUGUUGGACCGGACCGGACCGGACCGGAACCAAUGGUCGGUCCGGUUCCCGGUCCUAGGACCAAACGGUCCGGUCCACGGUUUGCAAUUUUGGGAAUCGGUGCUCCCGGUCCGAUUCCCGGUUCCAAGGUGGAACCGGACCGAACCGGGAACCGAUCACCCCUAGCUGGCCCUUCCCUACUUCCGAUGUCCUUGAUUUGGGCAAUGCCUAUCUUCGACGAAGAAGACGAUGAAUAGGGACAACCAUGGGUAGAUCAAGAAGAAGAUGAACAGGAUAAGGAAAACAAAAAGAUAAUAUUUUUUGGACAAAAAUACCCCAGACCAGGUCGUUGGAAUACGCAUUGAAAAUGCAUCAAUUCGUCGGCCGACAAGUCAGAUCCUUUUUUGAGACUAAAUGACUGCUUUGGGGCCUUAUUUGAGAUAGAUUCCAUUUAAGGUCUUCUUUUGAGAAAAUGGGACCACUUUAGGUCUCUAUUUGAGAUUUUCCCUUUUUAAAAUGAUAAACAACUAAUCGUGGUUCUUUACCCAAAAAAAAAAAAAAAACAACUAAUCGUGGUUGUCAAAAUUUAUAUGUCAACACACCUCUUAGAAAUAAAAGAGCUUAAAUAAAAAUACUUAAUAUUAAUAGCAUGUUGAUACAUUUAUACAAAACUUCUACCCCGGGCACACGUAAUAAAGUCGUAGAUAGUCAAGUGAAAUCUAAUAUGCGAAAUAAUUUGAUUUAAGGACAGCAUCAUUGUAUUAAAGGUCGUAAUGCCAAAUGAAUCAUUACCGCGAGGCAUAGAGCAGGAUUUUCAAAUACUCCAAUGAGUUGUGGUCACCGUGGGUAAUUUUGAAUUUGAUUACAAUGCACUACUUAUAAGUAAAACGAGAAAAGUGGUGCACUGAAAACUGCAUAAUUUUCUUUAUUUUUUUUAACAAGUUCAUAAGAGCACUUUUAAAGAAAGUCCAAUUUGGAUAGGAGAAUUUUCAUUUGGCCCCACCAUUUUAGUCAUUUGCUUGCAGCCAUGCAAAGAAGUGACCAGAUUUGGCCCAUAAAUUAUAAGCAAGUUAAUAAAGACUUAAGCGGAAAGGACAGAGUAACUUCAACCUCAGAUAUUUCCCAGCCCGAGAGUUUCUUAGUAGAUGCACUGUUCCAUGUCGUGAGAUCAGCCUUCAGGACGAGGGACGAGUAGUGUGCAGAAAUCAAUAAUUGAUUGUGCAAUUGGCACGCGCCUACCCUGUAAGAGCAGCCGUGGCCAGGAUCCGGAAGAAACUUGUCGUGGCCAUGAUGGUGUGCUUGACGGAGCUCGAGUGGCCAGCUCAAAGCAGGGAUAGUGGGUGGGUGGAGUCCGUUUUCUUCUCAUUUUUAUUUAUCAUCCUUUUUUUUUUUUAGGGAAAAAGCCACCAAAAACCCUCCCAACUUUGCCUCGAGUGACAGAUUUACCCCGAACUUUGUUUUGUGACGUGAAAAACCCCGAAAUUUACUAACUGUGACACAUUUACCCCAAACUUUUAUUUGUGUGACAUAUUUACCCUAAAUCAUAAGGGAAUUUUGGUAUUUUUACUUUUAAAAACUUUUUUCUUUUUUUUUUUCUUUUUUUUCUUCUUCUUCUUCCUUCCUUCCGCCGGCCAUGGCGGAGCCGGCGUAGGAAGCCGAUUUUUGCGAGGGCCUCCCUACUAAAAUCAGGGGAGGUGCCCCUGGCGAGGGCACCCUCGCCCGACGCCGGCGUCGAGCGAGGGAGGCCCUCGUCCAAUCCAGUCGAGGGCUGCCCUCGCCGGACGCCAACUUCCCUCUGCCAGCCAGCCGGCGGAGGAAAGAGAGAAGAAGAAAAAAAGAAAAAAAAAAAGAAAAAGAAAAAGAAAAAAUAGAAAUAAUAAGACGAAAAUACCCUUAAUGGGGUAAAUGUAUCACAGUUAGCAAACUUCGGGAUUUUUCACGUCACAAAACAAGUUUGGGCUUUUUGGUGGUUUUUUCCCUUUUUUUUAUUCUCUAAAUUUUUAUUAUACAAUUUUUAAUUCUUUUCCAGAUGUGACGCUAGGCAGAGUCAACUUUUGCUUGGAUAGAAGUUUUGUAUAAAUGCAUAGCCAUGCUAUUAAGCCAUGCUAUUAAUAUUAAGUAUUUUGAUUUAAGUUUUUUUUCUUUCUAAGAGGUGGAAUAGAAUUUUAGUUGUCAAAUCAAAUGACUUAAUAAAGAAGUUCAUCAUAUAAAUUUAAUUAGGAUUCAAUUGUACUAUUUAAAAGUAAGUUUUAGGUGAAUUGCAUUUGCUUGAUGAAUUUUAGAAUUUCUGAGGUAGGUAUCCCUUUGUGUAAAGGCAAUGCUCAUCUAUGAAUAUAGUCCAGUGAAAGUCUAUGGUACUUUAACAGAUGAAAGCGGGUGAAGCUUUCAUGACUGGUAGGGAAACUGGAGGCCAUCCCAUCCUAUGGAGGUGAUGAGAGGAGAGGUUUUUAUCAGUAGAGAUAAUACCUGCACCCGCAGAAAUCAUUACACUCUAAUGAAACUAAAACGUCAAAACAUUUAAGCCAAUGACUCAUGAAACAUGACUCUGCAUCUGUCCAAUCUUUUUAUUGCUCAUAAUAGAAAAUCACAGAACUAAAAGUACAGUUCUGUGAAACACCAGACUGGUCAGCAUCUCCAACUUUGAUGAUUGAAGACGACCCUUCAGAGAAAAUCCCACAUAAAACAUCGACCAAAGGACAGAAACAACAACAAAAUACGAUUACCAACUCAUAUAGAAAGGGGUAGAAAAGGUCUAAUGUUAUGGUCCCCCAGCACCAGAUAAUUUUAAACUAGAGCCUGGGCUUCACUGCUGGUUCCUCAUGGCAAGAACCUUGGCCAAAGCCGGCCGGGUCAUGAUGUCGGCCACCCAAGCGCUCACCUUGGGGCGGGCGUCGAACAGCUUCUUCACAUGGGUCCCCAUCAGGUUGGUCAGGACUGGGAGGUGGUGGAGGUCGGCCAGGGUGAAGCAGUCGCAGCCCAAGUACUUGGACUGGCUCAACCGGGCCUCGUAGAUGUCGAGGACCUUGGCGAGCUUGGCCUCGUUCUCCUCGACUACUGCGGCGUCCGUGGCCAUGCCGAACAUCGGCUUAAACAGGAGCUCCCACUGCAGCUUCGACCCCACCGGGUCAAACUGGUGGGCCUCGACCUCCAUCCACACGCCCAAGGUCGCCAUGGGUUUGCCCUCGCACACGAGGGGAGUGCCCUUGUCCUUGUAUACAUUAGCUAUGUAUUGAGUAAUUGCCCUUGAUUCUGCCACCACAAAGAACAAAAUCAAGAUGUAAACCAUGCUUCGCGUAGUUGUUUCUUGUUCAGUUGACGAAUUGAACACUCAAAGAUUGACUAAACACUUGAUCCUUCAUCAUGGUCGCAUGAUCUAUCAGCAAUCGAAUCAGCACCCUUUUGACUAAAUACUUUCAUCUUUCAUGAUGGUCACACAGUAUAAUACACCACGAACAGAAAGACUUAC